UCUUUUUAAAAAUCUACACUCCACCCCAUUUUUUAUAAAGAUAAAUUUUAGUGACGAAAACAAAUUCGUCACUACUAAAAACUAAUUACUAAUUAGUAAAAAUUUAAAUAAAUUUAAUGCAUAUACACUAUCAUACAUUAAUUUAUGAAAAUAAUUUUACUGAAUUAAAUUUAAAAAAACCAUCCACUUUGUCUGUUAAGUCCACGUCCCAUCUAUCUCCAAAUCAUAUUUCUCACCACAAACGGCCACCACCAAGCCUUUACUCCCUUUAACACGGCUCCACUGUCCCACAAUGUGAAACCCCAUGGCACAUUCAUGCCUCAAAGUUUUGUUGCGACCUGAACCCCAGAACGUGAAUCGCACAUCCCUAAAGCCACUUGUUCAACUACUUCUUGUGAAUUUCACCCCUUUAAGUUGUGAGCGAACGCUCUGUUGGUCUUAGAUAUUGUUGGAUUUUGUUAAAAACGAUGCUCCACCGCCUCGUUGGGCUCUAAUAACCUCAGAUCCACUUCAUAUUUUCAUAAUUUUGUUUCUCUAUUUUCUUCACCCAUUUGUGUUGCUUUUUUGGCCUACAACCCAAUUUUGAAAAUUGGAGGUAUAAAGAGAUUAUUUUGAUUAAAAUUGAAUUAUUACCAAAUAUGAAAACACAAGCAUGUUUCACUAUGUUCGAGAUAUGGUUUGUAAAUCGGGCAGGUGUGCUAUUGCAUUAUUUGCAUUAUGAAUUUACGGAGGAAAAACGCGAUUGAGAGAAUGAUGAGGAUUGUGAUGUUUUCAUUUUUAAAUUUAUUGGAUUAUAUUGAUUUUUUUUUUGAAAUUAUUGAUUAACAAUUUAAAUAAUAACUAAUUAUUAAUGAAAAAUAUUUUUCGUCACUAAAUUUGCCUCUAUAUAAAAUGGGGUGGGAUGUAGAUUUUAGAUAAGAAUGGGGUGGAGUGUAAUUCUAACAAACCUUAAGAGGGGUGAGUGUACUUUACUCAAAAACAAUUAUACUUAUUAAUACUUAUUAAGAAAAUAUACAAUGAGAACAUUAUUUAAUUCAGUGGUUUUUAAAAAAGUUUCAUAAUCUUUCAUUUUUAUUCUUAACUAGUCCUUUUACCCGUGCGAUGCACGGGGGAUUUUAAUUUUUAUGUAUUGUACGAAAAGUUUUAAAUUUGUGUUAUGUUUAUUUAAAAAUAAUUUAUAAAUUAAAAUGACAAAAAUAAUUUUGAAUAUAAGAAAACACGAAUUUGUAAUUUUUUUACAUGGAGAAUGUGUUUGUUUUAUUUUGUAGAAGAGCAACUAUUUUAUUUAUUCGUGGGUUUUGCGUUUAAUGUUGCACUAUCUAAUUUAGUUUCUUAUAGAGGAAAAAAGUUCUUUUGUUACCCUGCGGUGCACGGGGUAUUAUUUAUGUUUAUUGAGUUAAAAUUUAAUAAAAUAAUAUUAUCUUUAUUAAGUUUAUAAAAACAAAGUUAUGAAUUAAAAAAUUUAAAUAAAUUUUAGAUGUAAAUUAACUUAAAUUUUGUAGUAUUUUUUGUGUGUCACAUGUAUUUAAUUUGUAUUUGUUUUGUAUUAAUGUAAUAAUUAUACUAAUUUUUGUAUUUUACGUUUAUUUUAAUGUUGAACUAUUUAAUUUGGUCUUUUAUAUAAUAAUUUAAUUUUUUAUUUUAUUGAGAUGAAAUAGUAUAUGAGUUUAAUGAAUGUACACUGUCAGAGUAAAGAAGUUUUACACUGUUAUCCAAUUAUUGUAUGUCAUGUGGGAUAAAUGAUUAUAUUCUUCAUUUAUUUUAAUUAAAUUACAAUUAUAGUUUCUGAUGUGACGGAAAACAAUUGGAUGUUUAUGUAAAAAAAAAUUUACACCAACAGUGUAUCUUCCUUUUUCUCAUAUUAUAUAUGAGCUGAUAAAAGACAUUGAAUAAGUAAUGAUUAUACUAAUAUUUUUUUGCAAACAGAAUGAUUAUUACAUUGAGAAUGUAACUUGAGAUUUUGAUUGACCCGCGAGCUUUCCCGAAAUAUAAGAAAAAAAAUAGAAUAAGACAAUAAUUAGUAUAAUCGGAUAAAUAUAAUGGAAUUUUAUUUAUUUAUUAAUUUAAUUUUCCCAUUCAUUAACUACAUGGAGCAAGAAGGUUGCAACUUUUUUUGUUGUAACACAUUUUUUUUUGCAGCAAAAGAAUUAUUAGAUAUAUUAAUUAAAAAAAAUUGUGCAAAGAAAUUCAUGGUAAAAUUCUCAUUAGUAUAAUUUGAUUCAACUGUUUAAUAAAAUCAUCACAAUACACAUUUUAUCCUUAGUUUAAUAUUUAUAUAUUUUUGAAAUCCAAAAUAAUUUACCAUGUCCUAUGGAAUUUUGUAAAUGAUAUUAACAUUUUAAAUAUUAAUAAUAAUAAUAAGAAUAAUACUUAUUAUAUUCUAUUUUUUUUUGAUACAUCGGAAAAUACUUAUUAUAUUAUAUAAUCCUAAUAAAAUUAUCAUGCAUGUCCUAUGGAUUUCAGUAACUGAUAUUAAAUAUUUUAAUUAGUGUGUAAAUAAUAUUAACUAAACACCAAUAAAAGUGUAAGUGAAAGGGUUAGUAAAAGGUUUAUUGUUGCAUUCAUAUCAACUUUAAUGUUAAAAUUUUAAAAUUAAUUAUGCUAAAGAAUAAUAUUAAUAUUUAUUUAUGUAUUGUAUAAAUUUGAUAAUAAUUUUUCAUGCCUUGUGAAAUUCCGUAACUAAUAUUAUAAUUCCCAAGAAAAUUUAUCAUGUCUUUAGGAAUUUCGUAACUAAUAUUUUAUUUUUAUUUGAUGUGUAAAGAAUAUUAACUAAAUAAUUAAUGGUAAAAUCUCAAGCUUGAAUUGCUGAAGAUUAAUAUAAACAUUAAUUAAUACAUUUAGGUCUCACAGGUUUAGAAAGAGGUAGCUGGUUCUUUUGGUUUUGUUGGAGGUUACUCUAGUUCUCUUUUUGUUGGCGGCUGUUUGUAGGUUUUUGGUGAUUAACUUUUUGAUGUACUAAUCAUUCAUUCCCCCUGGAUUUGGAUUUGAGCUUGUUCUCAAACCUUUUAUCAUUUAUAUAUAUAUAUAUAUAUAUUUAUCUUUUUGCUUUAAAAAAUAUUAAUUAAUACAUUAUAUAAAUCCAAAAAUAAAUUAUCAAGGAAUUCCAUAAAUGAUAUUAGUUUUGUUUUUAAUUUUAGUAUUAAUAUAAAUUAAUUUAUUACAUAUGACUGAAAUGUUUUGUGAUGUCUUAAGGAAUUUCGUAACUGAUAUAAGUUUUCUUAGAUUAAUAUUAAUAGAAAAUUAAAAUAAUUCAUCAUGUCCUAUGUAAUUCUAUUAUUGCUAAUAACCCACUAUGUAACUAAUAUUAAUUAUAAAUUUCUUGAAGCAGGAAAGAUUAGUCCAACAUUUAUUUUGGUAUUCAUAUCAGAUUUAAUGUUUAAACUCCUACCUUUUGCACCCAAAAAGAAACCUACCUUUAGUUGUUAAAGAUUAGUAUCAAUAGUAAUUAAUUUUUUAUAAAUAUAGAAUAAUUUACCAUGGCUUAUGGACUUCAAUAAUUAAUAUUAAUUUUAAUUUACUGUGUAAUUAAUUUAAUUAAACACUAAAUAAAAAAAACGUAGGUGAUAUUAGCCAAUGGAAUCAUUUCCUCUUGUAACAAAAAAAAAACCAAUGGAAUACCAUCUCAUAUUAACCAUUUAUUUUGGUGAGUAAUUUUGGGAUCCUUAUAAAUUUUAAUGUUAAAACAUCUACCUUUAUUUUUAAAUAAAUAUUAAUUAUUAUAUUCUAGAUAUCUAAACUAAAUGAUCAUGUUUUAAGGAAUUUCAUAACUAAUAAUUUUUUUUAUUUCAAAAGAUUAAGAACUCUACAAUCUUAUUUGUCUUGUUACAAAAACAAUUAUUUUGAAACUAUAUGAAAAAAAUUAAGAAUUCUGAAAAUGCGUAAUGUUACAAUAGAAAAAUACUAAAUUUGUAUUAGGGUGUAUUUUUCUUGUUUUUCGAUGAAGCAAAAAGAAUAUUUUUUUUCUUCAAAUAUCAUAUUAUUUUAACCACUUUAUCCUUAUAAUCAAUCACAAACUAAUACCAUUUAACCAACUAAUUAACCACUUAUAAAAAAUAAUAUAAUUUAUCGUUACCCUCUUAGAGUAUGAUAAGGUUUGCCUUUCUUUAUAAAAGAAAUAUCUCUCUUCAAUAAUAAAGUUGUAUCUUUGUCAAUUCACGAAGAAUAAAUCAAUUAAUAUUGAAUAUAAUUGAUUCAUUCUGAUGGUGGCUAGACAAAUUAAGAAAGCUCAAACUUUUUGAUGCAAUAACAUGAUGUUCAUAGCAUACCCUUAAAAUUAAGUAUAGCAAGCAACACUUGGAAAUAACAUAUCAAGAAAGUUGAAGAAACAAAGAAAAGUCAUUUACAACACUAUUGUUGUCAUGCUUCUCAGAAUCAUCUUUUUCUUCUUCUUCGUCUUCCUUCUCUUUCCCCCUCUUCGUCCUCUUUAAUAGGAGUUGUACCACCUGACUUAUAUCUUUCCCUUUCCCACUCCUUUCAAUAUAUGCAUUCAACAAUAAAUCAACUUGUGUAUUGAAUGACCACAAAUAGAGAAAAAAAAUUGUUAGACUUAUAAGAGAGUUAGUGGAAAGUCAGUACUUAUAAUUGUUGUAGUGAAAAGUUUUUAUAGGUAUUGAUAUUAAAUUUUAUGUUUAAACUGUCAACUUUUAAUAUUUAGGAUUAAUGUCUUGUAUAUAUCCUAACUAACUAAUCAUGCCCUCUAGAAUUUCUUAACUAAUAUUAAUUCUAAUAUGUAACCAUAAAAUUCUUCAAUAACCACAUAUAAAUGAAAAAGAAGGCAUUGAAACUUAUAAGAGAGCUCCUCCAAAAUGAGGGCAUUGAAACCUGUAAAUUAAUGAGUGACAAUUCUUGGCCUUAAAAAAUUAAAAUGAAUAUCUUUUUAAUAGAAAGUAGAAGAUAGGUUUAGAAAAUAAUUCUCUUUAGGAUAGCUCAAGUGGUAGGAGCUGGGGUACAUAUGAGUUGGGUAGGGGGAGGUCCAAGGUUCGAUUCCUGGAGGGUGCAAUUUAUCUUUUCGAUGUAUCAAAAACACAUUAGGAGAGAAUCAAUUGAGAUAACAAUAUGAGAAGAUAAUAAAAUAAAUUAUGGUAUUAGGGAACUUCUUGAGCCCGGAGAUACUUCAUAAGAUGUUAUUUUUGAAAUCAUGCACCCAUAUGAGGAAUAAAAUAAAGAAGAUAACAACCUAAUGUGAAAAAAAAAAUUGAAUUGAGGAAUAAAGACUGUAUCUCACUGGAGUGGAAGAGGAGAAAUGAGAAUAAAGAAGAAAACAACCUAAUGUGAAAAAUAAAUUGUAGAAAAAUAAGUCUGAACUCUGAAGUCAAAACGCAGAAAGAAGGAAAAAAAAGGAAAGGUUCUUACCACAGUCGGAGAGAACGAUCUUGCUCUUUGUGGAUUUCUUCCCUCGCUUCAUUUUCCACAAAACAAAUGGUAGAAAAAAAAUUAGAAGAAGGGUUCUUACCAUAGUUGGAGAGAGCGAUCUUGCCCUUCACCGUUUUCUUCCUUCUCGCUUUGCUUUCUCGAGACAUAUCAGUUGGGAGACAAACCCCAUGCUUCCUCCCCACAAUCAACAGCAGAAAGUAAAAUAAAAUGAUGCUACCUAAAGAGUCAUUUUUAGGAGACAAUGAAACACUAAAAAAGUACAUAAAAUGCAAGAAACUUACAUAUUUUGAAGAUAAUACAUUGGAAGAAUGGAAACAAUAGAGGAAAAAUCUGAAAGAAGAAAAAUUGAAAUGAAAUUAGUUACAUGUAAAAGGAGAACAAAGGCUACAAUGUAUUAGGUUAAACGUAGAAACAAUCAUUUGGUUGAUUUAGUUGAUAAUAAAACAAUGAAAAUAAAAAAAGCGUGAAACUUCCAUUAACUGAAGAUUACCGUAAAGUAAGGGAAGCAACAUCAUAAAAUUGUGCAUGAAACACAAUUAGAGAAAUGAUAAAGGAGAUGAAUUUAACCGUUUAAUGUUACAACUGGAAGUAAAGAAAAAUUAUUUCUAAAAUGGAAUAAAAGAUAAGAAAAGAUCAUAACAAUGUUAAUAAGAACAAAACAUGCAUCAAUGACAAAAGUGCAUUAAAAUGGGUCACUUCUACCGAUUGAAUUAGUGAUAACAGUAUGCAUAUUACGAAUAAACAUUGAAUCUUAUCGCAGUGGAAGAUGAGGAAUGAGAAGAAUGGAUGGGAAAAAAGAAGAUCGGUUGAGAAGAACGUAUCUUGAGAACGAAAUGUGAAGAAGAAAUGAUUAUGAAAUUAGAAUACAUAAAUCAAAAGGAGAUAAAAGGAAAAAAGGGCUCUUACCGGAUGGAUAUUGAUGAUGAUGGAGAAGAACAUUAACGUCUAAGUAUGAAAAAUGAUGAAGAAGAAGUGGCUGAUGAAGAAGAAAUGGUGCUGUUGGAGAAUCCAGUGGGAGAUAUUUCUUGCAUAUGAAUAUAGGUUAUGGAUAUCAUGAUGAGAAAGAUGAAAAGAAUUUGAAAGGAAAUGAAAAGACUCAAAACUCAAUAAAUUUAUGGGAGAAAAAUGAAGAGACUCUUGCUGAUUUUUGUAACCACAAUCAAGAGUUACAAAAGUAAAAAAAAAAAAAAACCAAGAAUGUGAAAAGGUUGCUUAAAGGGUUUCUUAAGAAAAUAAUGCACGGCUGUGAUUAGAAGCAAUCAACGGUCAAGUUUGAUUUCAUAAUUAAUUAGUCACAAAUUUACAUAUAUGCCCAUGAAAAAAUAUUCAUUCAUGUGCAUUGAUUUAUUGAAUUCUCAUCUUACCCUCAAAAUUUCACAAACUCUCCCUUUAUAUAGUUUAUAGAUUAGUGUAUUGAAUAGUGUGGAAGAAAAUUAAUUAUUAAUGGUAGUCAAAAUUUUAGAAUUACAAAAACGAAAUAAAUAACUAAAAUUUUAGGGGUAUAUAAGGAAGAAUAAAAGAAAUCCUAAAAUCUAAUAUGGGUUUUUAUAUUAAGAGACGUCAACAAUAUCUAUGGGAAGUCUUAUAAAAAAGGAACUGAUCGUGAGGGUAAUAUCUAUCAUUUCUAUUUUUUUCGUUCUUAGAAUUAACGUGUGAAUAAAGUAUUAGUGGAAGUUUUGAGUGUAUCAUGCAAGUCAUAAAAUCACUAUUAACAUACUAUUAGAUAAAUAAUUAGUAAUUAUAGAAAUAAAGUUAAAUAGUUAGUAAUUGUAUUUUUAUUUAUUAAUUUUGUCACCUUGACCUCUUCAUUAAUUGUAUUUUUACCAUCCUCUCAUAACUCUAUUCUCAAUCUUUGUUCGAACAUUGUAGUCUGGUGUAGCACCUCAUAUGUCGUGUAAGUAUGCUCCUUAGGAUUGAUCAAGAUGUUAGAGUAUUAAUUAGACACUUGAAAAUAAUAAUCCGUCCCAAAUUGCAUAGUAACACAAUGCGAAGGUAUCACGUUCGCACGAUACCUACCGACUCAGAUACCCUCAACAACGAGUAAGUGCCCUAAGUAGUUGAUACAAGUGUUUAGUAUGAUGCCCUUUUGAAAUUCAAUUUGUGGGUUUUUUAGUAAUUUUCACCGAGUAAUACAUAUCUUAUUUGUGAAAGGCGGUUUUUUUUUUUCUAUUGUGAUCUGAAAAAUUAUAUAGAAAAUUAGAAACUAGAUGAAGGAGGAUUAAAAAAUGGUCAAAAAAACAUAAUAUAUUAAAAGUAGAAGUUCCACAAAGGAGGAGGUAUUAUCAUCCAAGCCCUUAGGUAGGUUAAAAUAUGCUUAUAGAUUCUCAAUGGCCCAAACCAUCACUAAUUUACUAGCGGAAAAAAUCGUCAAUAACAGUUUCUGAUGAUGUACAUACUGACGCUCACACAAUUGUUGAUGUUAAUUUGUCGGGAAGUUGUUAUUGUCGAGACCAUCUGGCCAUUACUAAGGGUUUUUUGCCGUUUUGAAAGGCAAGUUUUCUUACAGUGACAUAUGGUGUUCAGUAAAAUUUGCAACCAAACCGGCGAUGAAAAACCAAUCUAAGGUGGGUGGCAACAAAGGGGAAUGUAAAACAGACAUAGUUGGCAAAGAUGGUGAGACUACAAAAGUGGUUUGAUUUUGCGUUGAUAAAACCAACGCAAAGCCGAGACAAAAUGGGAAAAACAAAAUAACAUGAUUUGUUUACGUCAACGCUAAUUUGCAUCGGUUAAGUAUCAUUCAGAGUUAGCAGUGGUGAUAGCUAAAAUCUCAUGCCACUAUAGUCCGUUCUCUAAAUGUAGACAAAUAGUGGUGGCUAGAGAACGACUUUACUUUUACCCUCCACCUUAUCGAACACUAAUUUCCAUGUGUGAACAACUCAUUUUGUGGGCGGGAAAUUGAGCAUCAACUAGAUUUCUCCGUCCGAGCUUCAUUAUAAGUAUAUCUCUCUCACUCUCUCUCUCUCUCUCUCUUCAACAUAAUCAAAAAGUCAAUUUUAACCUUCCUCCGCCCAUCUCACUCGUCAGCCUGUUAACAUGUUUAUUAAGAAAAUAAAUAUAGUUCAUAAAUCACUCUUUUUAAAUUUCAUGAAACUUGAUAAUUUAUUAGGAAGAUGUUAUUCCUCGAUAGCUAAAUAUUUUUUUAUUCUAUUUUAAAUUAUUUUUAAGGGAGACUAUAGGAGAAGGAUAAUUGAAUGAAAGUUAAUUAAAAUGAAAGAUUACGGGUAUAAUAUGAAACAUGAACACAUUUUAAAUUCUUGUAACACACCCUUAAACUUCAAAUAAAAUGGGAUAAAGGAGUAAGAUCCGAAGAAAAAUUCAGAUUCUAUUGCUAACUUAUUCGAGGGAAGAGGGUUUGAAUAAAUGAAUUGCGUUGAAAAUUGUAGAGUGCACAUUUGCGUGCACGAAUGAAUAUGUGAACAACAAUGGUGAUCUUAAAGGGAAAACAGUGAUGGGAUGAGCACUAUUUUCCCCUAUGCUCCUAGCUGAUCUUUUUCAUGUACCAAUUUCUGAAUCAAACUCUUUUUUGAUGAUGUUAUCUCUUCCAAAUUAAAUCCCCGUGCUCAUGUAGAAAACAAGGCAAAUAGAAAAGGUUAAAUUCAUAAAGGAGAUAUAUACCAGAACAAUUCCUUUCAAAAUUAAUCACUGAAUACCAAAACUUCACAUAAAUGCAAACCUGUAAAAGCAUACCGGGUACACUGCAGUGAUGUCUGCUGCACAAUAAUGCUCAGUUGAUUAAUUGAAUGAUGACACACUUACCUGCACAAAUCUUUGCUUUCUGACAAAGCAUUGAGCACUUUUCUUAUGAACAUUGAAUCUUAAAUGAUGAUGAUCCUUAAAUAAAGAAGUACCCUGGUCCUUAAAAAGCACGAUGAGCAUUUUUUUUGGUGUUAACAACUUAAAAUGCACAAUUGUUUGCUAAAUUCAUGAUGAUGAUCCUCAAAAAAAAAGGUACACCUUGUCCUUCAAGAACAUAGUGUAACAUAGUGAUCAAGAAGGAUCUUUUGAUGAACAUUGAAUCUUAAUCAACACAAGCAAAGAAAGAAUCUGGCUACAUACUUUUGACAGAUUAUUUGAAUAUAAUGUGUAGGGAUUCAGCUAUAACAUGAGAUGUUAAAGCUAAAGAUGUCUAUUGAAUAAACAACUAUAUCAUAUGGUUUAGCAGCACCAACAAGAAAACAUUUACAUACCUAUACUUGGAAAAACUUUAUUCUAUUAUAAUAUCUGUAUCGUCACUGGUCAGAUCUAUCAAUUUUACUUACAAAAUGAUAUGGAAACUAAGGACAGAGAAAAACAGAGAAAAGUAUAGAUCUGAAUGAUACUACUGAAACCACACAGAAGGAAGGUAAAUGCACAUUACAAUUAUAUCUAAAACAACAAAAACAAUAUCAUCAAUCAAUUAAGAAAAAUUGUUAAACAAAUCCAAUAAGAUCAUAGAGAUUAGAGACAGAACAUAGGCCAAGAAACCCUAGAGAGAGAAGGUGGAAAAAUAGGUAGAGAGAGAAAGUUGAAGUGAAAAAGGGGAGGAAGAUGGAGUUGAAAAAGAGGAGAGAAUGUUUAACUGUGUUCAAAGGUGUCCAGAUCUGAGAAAACAUGGCAGAAACAGACAGAUCGGAAAACAUAGUAAUUGGUAGUAGUAGUAGUAGAAGAUCUGGCUAAUGAUGAACAUGAAAAAGGUGUACCUGACAACAAAAAAAACACCAUCAUAACUUGAUCAGAGGAAAAAGAAGAAAUUGAAAAGGAGGUAAUGAUGAAAGCCUUUUGAAAAAACAAAAUUGGUCAAAAUGCUUCAUCAUUACACCAAUCUGCAAACUUCCACCACAACCAUCUUUAAUUGAUCCAAAAUCCAAACCGCAAGGCCUCAGAUCUGGCUAUAUUUGACAAAAAAACAAAACAUCAGAGAGAGAGAAGCAAAAACCUACAAGAGUAGUAGUAGUAUAGUAGUAGUCCACCUCCAUCUGCAGAGGCUAUGUUGUUACAAAAUGGAAGCGUGUAAUUGGGGGGAAUGAAGCCUGGUCCGACAACACUUCGCAUUCCAUCACCCUAAAUUUGGAUGUUGCAUUGGAUCAAGUCGAAGGGUCCUCGAGCCAGACAACAUUCCCCUCAAAAAACCAAAGCUUCCUGAAAAUAGUGGGUUAAAGUCUUAAUUCUUUAGUGGGGGUAUGAGAGAUAUGAGCUAGCUACUUUUUGACAGUCUCUGAUUUUUUCACUCCCACGAGUCUCGCCUAGGUUCAAGGGGGGGACUGAGAGAGAAGGGGGGAGAGGAGAAGAAAUGAGUGGUGGUGAUGAUGAGUGGGUGAGUGAGAAUGAUAUGAGGGAGGAGAAUGCAGAGAGGAGAGGGGUUAUAACAAGAGUGAAAAUUAAAUUAAAGGAGGUGUGGAAAGCCAACGAGAUAAAAGACAAAGGAUUGGUGCAGGGUAGACCCUACCACCUGGGUUCUCACUUCCAGAAAUGACCACGACCCCAUGCACCCAACCACACUCAACCCAACCCCCUUCUUAUUAAUGGUUCCCUCAUCACUUACCAUUUACCAAUCUCCUACAUUCAUAAAAUUUAGAUCAUUUAAUCAAAGAUUGAUCAGCUCAUAUUUUUUUUUUAGCAUAAUUGACCGUUGAGAUAUUUUAUAAUUUAGGUUGUUCGAUUGAAAUCAGACAACUCAAUGUGAAUUCAUGGACUUUCUGACUCGAGCAAUCCAAAAUCCUUACUCCCUUGUUUAGGAAUACAUACAUAUAUUAAAAAAUUCAAUUAACUUGGUUAUUCUUUUAAAAAAUAUAAUUUAUUUUCUUAUUUUACUUUUUUUUAUAUUUUACCCUUACGUUACUUGUACUUUAUUUCUUCUUAAUUAUUUGAACAUUUUUUAUUCUGUUCGAAAAGUGGAAAAAUUAAAUGGUUGAAUCAAUGUAUAUCAAUAGAUGUUUUUCAUGGCUGAGCCUCAUUCAUGCACGGGCAUUACUCUAUUUAUUUGUAUUACAAUAACAUUAUUUAAUAAAAAAAUAAAUUAAUGGUGUCUUAAAAGAAUAGUUCAAGUGGUAAGAACUGAUAACAUAUGAAUUGGAAAUUGAAGGCUUAGAGAUCAAUUCCUCAAGAGUAAUUUAUGUAUUAAAAAAAGAAUUGAGUGAGCAUUGAACAAUUUUUUUUUAGGUAAGUUAAUUUUCCGUCCGAGCAAAAAAAAAAAAAUUAGGUAAAAAAGAUGAGAAUGCUGGUGAUGAUAUCCACCGUUGGAUUAGGGAUGUAUGGGGUUUGAUGUUAUGUCCUCGUACGAACAUUGACUGUACCUGUUAUUAAGGACCCGCAAAACCGAGACCGACCAUUUGAUGGAGCAUGAUGUGGAUGAUGGUGUCAUACGGUGGGAGAUCUAGGUAAGGACUCACCAUACAUAGAUACUGUAGCUUAGCAUUCAAUUUUUGAUAUGAUGAAAGUAGAGGGAGAGAGAAAUAAAGGGAGACAUUGAUUGUUGACCGUAGGAUUCUGUGAAAACAAGGUACGGAUUGAGAAGGAAACACAGGCGAUGAAAGUGAAUGAAUGCUCCACAAUCCACAAACUGUGUUUUUUUUUUGGUCAAACACAAACUGUGUUUAUAUGGUCAAUCAAAAUUCAAAAAGAUAACCAUGUAACCAAAAAGAAUAAAAAUAACCAAUCACAUAAAUGCGGGGUUACAUUGCUACUUAAUUUUACAUUAUUGUCUUGUUUUUGUUUAUCGUUAUUUUAAUUUCACAGUGUUUUUUAAAAGAGUUUCUAAACAUGCACUAAGAACAUGUAUAUAUUGUUUAGGAAGCCCAAAACCCACGUGUCUUUACCGGCCGAUCGUUUUCGUGUGAAACAACAUUCCAACGAGCUGCUUCAUUUCACUAGACAACAACGGUGGUGCCUCUUGCUUCACGGCAUUGGAAGUGUUUGGGCCAGUGUGCAAGAGACCAACAAAUAGGAUUAUUCAAGUUAAUUUUCACGCCUCAGUUAGAACUGAUACGGUUGUUGUGUUAGGGAUGAUAGCUUGGGAUCGUUUUGGAGAGGUCUUGGCUGCGGCAACAUCGUAUUCUACUCAUGUGUUAUCAUUAAUCAUUGUCGAGACUAUUAGUUUUCGUUGGUUAUGACAUUAGCUUCUGAGGUGGUAGCUCUUAUCUAGCUGUUGUUGUUCGGGAUUGUUGUUUGAUUACUACUUUUUUUUUUUUUAGUAUGUUGAUAUUUCUUUUGUUCAUAUGAUCGACAAUUUUAUCGUUGAUUUCCUAGCUAAGAACUCUUCCUCAUACGCUAAUUUAGAUUGCAUGGAAGAAAUUCCUCAUACGCUUUUAUCUACUGUUAAAUGCUUUUUUAAUCUUCUUCUUCUUAGUUUGAAGACAUAUUUUUUGUUUCAAACAAAAAAAGACAUAUUUUUCAACUUUUUCAAUGGUGAAAGAAGUCUCGUAGUUGUUGUUCGGAAUUGUUGUCUGUUUACUUCUUUUUUUUUUAGUAUGAUGUGCCGCUAAUUUUCUAACUAGAAACACUUCCUCCUACGCUAAUUCAAAUUGCAAGGAGAGAAUGCGUUUAUUUUAGUUUUUUUUCCCUUUAGAAAAUCAGUUUUUAGCUAAGAAAGUAAUUUCUUUAAUAAGUAAAUCAGGAAACUCCUUUACAUUUUUUCUAUCAUUUUUUUCAUUCAUUUUGUAUAAGCCAUGGUACUAUUGUCCACAAUAGACGUGGGUGUAGAUUAUAUAAAUUAAACCCCAGAAACGAAGAAAGACAUAAUGAUGAUUUAAAUUAUUUUGAAGAAGAUAAAGGAAUCAAAAGUUAAAAGAGGACUAACAAUUGAGUCAGAGGAGUGGUUGAGUUAUGAGAUGCCCGAUAAUAGGAAACCCCAUUUAUUAUGCAGCUGUUGUUCUUGACGUGUUAUGCUUUUAUAUUUAUUUUUAAAAAUACUCCCUCCGUUCCUGAUCUUUUGUUGUUUAAGGUUAUGCACAUUGUUUAAGAGUGCAAUCAUUGAUAUAUUUGUUGACAUAAGCACCCCUAUUUAAUGUUCUCUUAUAGUGAAGAGAGAAUUAUAGUUAUUGGUUAAGAAAUUUGUUAUGAUUUUGAUUGGUGAAAAUAAGAGGUGGUAGGUGAGAGGUAUAGUAUUAAAUGAGAGUAUAUAUGGAAUAAAUUGAGAAAAAAUGCAUUGGAUUUAUAAAACAACAAAAGUUUUGGAAUUUAGGCCAAAAGUUAAAACAACAAAAGAUUAGAAACGGAGGGAAUACUACUGUAAAAUAAAUGGGAUAAAUGCAUUGAAUUGCAUUGGAAAUAAAUAAAUAAAAGUAAAUGAGAGUUUGAAAAACAAAAAGAGAAGGACCUCGUAGUGUGUGUAACUUUUAAGCAGGCGAAGAAUUCGAGGGAAGUUACCGACAGAUGGGGCUGAAGGAACGGGGUCCACCCUGCCUUUUACCCCGUCCCAAUUCCUCGCCGACUUUUCCGUUUUUCACAGGGUCAAACGACGCCGUUUUAACCAUGUAUAGGAGCAGAUAUUUAAUCAUUUUUUUUUUCAUUUUUAAACUAAUGAAAUUUAAUUAGACGUUUAUAUAAACUUCUUUUAAUUUAUACUAUAGUACUCAUAAAAAUAAAUUGAAAAUUAAUUUUGGCCGUGACUGGUCGCUGGCAACCCAUUUACAUCAUCACAUGCCGUUUGCCAACCAGCUCCUCAAUUUCAUCCACAUUUAUUAUUAUGUAUAUUCCUUUUUGCACAUUUUAGACUUCAAAUAUUCUUUUUAAGAUUUGUAAUACGAUUGAUAGCGAUGGUACUAUUGUGAGAUUUAAUUCUGAGGUAACGUGUUGGUGGUGAGAAGUAAGAACUAAAAUUCUCAAAAAAAAAUUAUUCUAGUUAUAAUAGUGUUUACGUGGAUUUUUGGUAAACAAAUAUCAUCUUAGUUCGACUAAAGGAAGUUUAGAUUCAGGGUCCUUUUGAGAAAACGCUUUGCCAAAGUAUUGUGUGUGUGUGUGUGUUUUUCGACAAAAACGAAUUGGUUUAGACAGAACUGAAUUUCAUUAAACACGGGUCAAUUACAAAGGAGUCACAUACAUAAAAUAACACAAAAACUAACAAGAGAUGUGGAUCUCGACAAGAAAAUGCAUAAAGGAACUGGGAAUUAAAUAAGCUUAAACACGAGAAAACUAAAGCGUUGGUUCUGCAACAUACUCCUCCAUCAUCACGUUGUGCUCCUUGAGUCUCAUUGAUGCGGACAUUUGGAGCUUUUGGUGAAUUUUCAGAGUUUGAGUUGGGAACCCUUUUUUCUGCUGCUACUUCUUCUAUUUAUAGUGUUGUUCCUGCCCACGUUCUUGGCGGUUUUUCUUGGAUGCAUGAUGGCUUCGUGGGUUUUGAAUUUUGGCGCCAUGUCCCACGUUUAGCCGGUGGUCUUCGCGCACGUGACUCUAUUGCCACGUGGAUGGUUUUGAGUCGUGGGCAACCGUUGCUAUUCGUGGCAUCGUGGGUAUAUGCACGUGCUUGUAGUUGCUUGUUACUCGGUAACUGCCUCUUCCAUUAAGAUGAUCGAGAUUUCUUCAUCUGCUGAGUUUGUCGAGAUAUAGCUCUCACUAACUUGACUUUGAGGGACACCGUGUGCUGAGUUGCCGAUUUCGCCAUAACCCUUUCUGUCGAGAUCCUACCUCCAUGGUGUCGAGAGUCGUAGUACUCGUAAUUUUUAGCUUAACAGUUGCCCCCCAAGAAUGUUGGUUGUCGACUGCUUUAGCUUGAAGACACCAAGCAUUUUUUAUCGCAGCCGUUCGAUUCCAACGAUUCAAGUACUUUGUGCUCUCGACCAUUCGAUCUUCAAGUCCAAUCAGCAGCCAUAACGUCUGAUGACUUCUCCACUAGCUGACAGUUAUAGCCUUUUUAGGGCCAUGAUUUCACCUAUGCCAAAAAGCUGAGAGGUGACAUGAGUUAACUAAUAAAAUAAUCGCUUGGACCCUAAAUUUUUAUAAAUUACUGCUCAAUGCGGCCUGGGUUCCGUUUGCCCUUCUGUUUAUAAAUACCCUCUUGGUGUUCCUCGUUCAAGCUUUACUCUUUUCUCAAACCUUCAGAUCCUUCCCCCAACGCUCUCACUUCAUCUUCUUCCGUUUUCUCUGGAAUAUCUACCGUUUUCUUCAAUGGCUUCCAAUCCUGAGCAGACCAUUCCGUUGGCCACUGAGCUUAAGCUGGAUGAAUCCAAGCGCGUGGCAAUCCCGGAACCCCCAACGAAGCAGAGAAGAGAGCUAUCUGGAAAUCCCAGGUACUCAUUCCUUUCUCUGUUAAUGGUACUUUACGCGCCAUUUUGGGUCCUUUGAAAGUAGUGAAGCAUGAUAGGCCCAAUAGUCUCCCUGAAGAACAUGAAUCAUUUCACCCUAGCGUUAGGGGAGAGGAGCUUAUUUUGGCAUUUCAACCUUCUUACCGUAUGCCAUUUCUUUCCGACCCAAAACGAGCCUUUCGUUCAGCUCCUCCUAACCCCUCUGCUAACGACAAAGCCUACCUGAAAUGGUUAGAUAGGGUUGAGGAAGAUAAGAGGCAACACUGGAAGGAUGUCAGGAUUCUCGACUUGAUUGAGCUGUCGAGAUCUCCAAUCUCGUAUAACCCUGCUAUGUUGUUGAGUGCACUUUAUUUCUGGGAGAGGUCCACUAAUUGCCUUCAUGUUCCCUUUGGCAUGAUCACCCUCACCCUCUUGGAUGUUGCUGCUAUCACCGGAUUAUGGCCCAUUGGUGAUGAUUAUCACUCUGCACCUGCCACUGUUAAACCCAUCUCGAUUCCUACUGACAACAUUUCUUUUAGUCGAUUCAUUAAGGACCAUUAUGUCGAGAGUGGUGAGGUGUCUGAUGCUGAACAUGUCGCUUUCUUGCUGUAUUGGCUGUCUGCUUAUGUUUUUUGCACCAAGUCUUUGCGUAUUCCUGCCAAGCUUUUGCCCUUAGCCAAUCUACUUCACGAGGGUCGACAACUCGCUAUGGCUAGGCUUGUCCUUGGCAACCUCUAUCAAAUGCUGAAUGAAGCUGUCGAGGAUAUCCGGAAUACCAAGACCGUCUCUCUGAAUGCAGCUGGACCUCUUUGGCUGUUUCAACUUUGGUUGAAUGCAGUCUUCGAAUCUCUUCUGCCGGCACAAGAUAAUCCUCCAACUGUUUCUAACACCAGGAUUGAUGCCCACAGGCUCGAGACCCUGACCCCUGCUUAUGAUGCGUCGAGUUUUGAAGCUGAUUUCAGAAAGUACUUUACCAUGUUUUUCGAGCUGAAGCAUUAUCGUUCCAGUUUCUCUCCUUACAGCAAGGCUGUUCGUGGCCCUUUCUGGCUGAGGAAUUCUUACCCUAAUGCUUCUGAUUCUGCAUUGCCCAAAGAACACCACAUCACGCUCUGGAGGACCCUCUUAUCUCCUAGGGUUUUAACUGUGGGCUUUGCUAGCAGUGACUACACUCUAUGUGGCUACAACCCUCAAUUGGUUUCUCGACAGUUUGGGCUUAGCCAAGUUCUACCCAACACUUUAUUUGACAAGAGUCUAGUCCUGUACCCCGGAGCUAUUAAGAGGGCUUCUGCUUUCGACACGACUGUUCAGUUUUAUAACAAGAAACUCCUCAACCUGAGCCCCUUCGCUUACGCUCCUUCAUAUUAUGCCACUAAUGCUUUCAAAGCCUGGUGGUCUGAGUAUUGGGCUCAAAUUUCGAAGCCCCUCGUAGAUUGUCUGCAAUGCAUGACAGAUGCUUUUCUUUUGCAGAAGCAGGAUCCGAAGAAGACCAAAGGUACGCACUGGCAGAAAUUCGAUCUUUUCAAGAGUUCUUUGGUGUGGUAUAUUACCCAACUCUUCGCCUUCAAGAUACGGUUGCGAAAGCAGCUCAAGUAUUAAGGCAAAAAUGGGAAUUUAAAGCCAAGAAAUCCAAGUUAGUUGUUCCUCCUGGUGAGGAGGGUCUAUCUUUUGUUAUUCGAAAAACUGGCUUUAGGUUCCCAUCUUUGCCUACGAGUAGGUUUGCAUUGGCCUUUCCACCGGUCUUGCCUAAAUGGGUUGACCAUGUAAACAUAAAUGUGCUGGCCAAUCAAGCUCUACCUCCUCGAAAGCGAGUGACUUGGACUAAGUACCACCUAUGGAACUUUCCGUAUCAUGUGCCCGUCGAAAUCUUCAACCACAUAUCGCUGAACAUGCGUAUUGGUCAAGGUAAUACUUCGACUUGGCCUAGGUUUUCCUGUUUUACUUCUUAAUUUCUCUUUUGUUUACAGCUGAAGUCAUUACCCGACCAGCUCCUCAAGUUAUUUCCCCAGUGGUUCAUUCUUCCAAGGACAAGCCAGUCGUGAUUGAGGAUGAUGAUGAUGAUGAUGAUGAGGAUGAUGAUGUCAGUCUUGCUGACAAGCUCAAGGUACUUUCCUCAUGCUUUUCCCUUUUUCUUUUCAAUUUCUUUGGAUUAUGAACUAACGUAUUCUUCGACAGAGUCGAAAAAGGAAACCUAAGCCUGUUGCUUCGGCCAGUCAGAAGAGGGCCAAAGGGGCUGGUGUUUCCACCACCAGUGGGGCUUCUAAGUUGGCAUCUGAUGCUCAACCAGAAGUCGAUGACAAAGAAGGUGGUGGCGACGCCGCCAUUCAGGUAUGUUUUCCAUUCUCGAGGGUACCUUGUGACAUUUUAACCUGUGGUUUCCUAAUCUGAGUCAUUUCUUGUUUGUUUUGUUUCUUUUAGGCUGAUGUCCAUGAGCAUUCCACUUCCAAUCCUCCAUCCCGUGAGAAUUCUCCAGCUCCCAACCCUGCAAAAUCCAAAGCUGAAGGUGUCGAGAAACCUCCCAAGGCCGCAUCCUCGGCUAAAAAGACCUCAACAUCUGAGGGAAGGAAGAAGGUCAGGAGCAAAUCUGGUCAUAAGUCUCCCCGCCGUUCCAGAAGCUCCACCAACUCGAGCCCUUCUAAGGAAUCUGCUUGCCAGGUAUCUUUAUAUUUUUCAUGUUUUGUUGGCUCCUCUAAUAUGCAUUUUACUUUAUCGAAAAGGGCAUUAAAGAGGUUUUUCUUGUAGGAAACUCAAGGUUCAACCUCUCCCAUUCGCGAAGCAGAACCUCUUCCAGGCAAGGAUGAUAACCCUAUGCCUCCUCCAAAAUCGACUGCCACUGUGCAACCUUCGCCUCAAGCCAAGGGUGGCUCUUCAUCUCAUGUGUCUAGUGAAAAGCUCGACACUUUAUUUGAGGAGGACCCGCUGGCAGCUUUGGAUGGCUUUCUCGAUGGCACCUUGGAAUGGGAUUCUCCACCCCAUCAAGCUGAUGCCACUGCUGAGACUACUCAAUCUAGUGGGGUGGCCAAUUUUCAGCAAAUCGAGGAGAGUAUGUGUCGGCUGAAGGCUAUUGUUUUCGCCAGUGGGUUUCUCGACCAGAUCCAAGUUGAUCCUCAAGCGAGCCAUGUUGCUAAGGAAUUGCUCGUAUUCCUUCUUGGCCAAAAACUUGAUUCUCAUCAGGCUGCUGCUUUGGCCAACCUUCAAUCCUUCCUAGUGGAUGCUUCAGCCACUUUUCAUCAAGUUAAGGACGUUGGUCAAGCUGUCAGCCUUAAGGAAGCAAAAGUCUCUUCUGGUAAAGCUCGAGUUGCAGCAAUGAAAGAGGACUUCAAGAAAUUCACUGCUAGGAAGGUUUUAAUUGCAGAUGAAAUUUCUGAAGUCGACACUAAACUUGAGGAGCUGCAUCGAGAGAUUACCAAGUUGGAGAAAAAGCGAGCUGAUUUGGUCGAGGAAGGCCCUGCUGUGAAGGCUCAGUUGGAUGUGCUUACUAAGGACUCCAAGGCUCUGAUCAUCUCGACAAAAGAUGUUAUCAAGGAGUUGGAGGUUGACCAGGCCGUGAAGAAGGAUCUCGAUGCCAAGAUUGCCACCUUCGCUGAUCGUUUGAACUCUUUUAAAUCCUUGCUUUAGGACUCUCUCUUAUCAAUAUGUAAUGAUGGCACUAUUUUAACCAUGACUUUCGAUGCCAAUUUUGCAUGUAAUAUUUCAACAAUGGUUUUGGCACGUAGGCCAUAUAAUUUGACGUUUAAUUUGCCAUGUCUUUUCAGUUUCCAUUGUGCACUUAUCCUGACGGCUAUUUGCUUAUUGUUGCACCGUUCAAACUCCCUUGCAUCCCCUUACGUAGUCAUUACUUGGUUUCUGGGAAAUAAGCCAAUUUAUUGCCAUCUUAUACCACGUUUUCUUGAUUCAAUGAAAGUCUUUGUUCAUUAAAGGCCAAAGCCAUUUACGAUGGUAGUGGUAAUUUAUGUGGCCUGUAACCAUAAGAUGAAGAGUUGGAAACUGAUUGCCACUAAUUAAUGCACUCCUUUGUUGUUAUACUAUAAAUAGAGCAUUCUUGGUUACUUCUCUUCAGUAACUUCUUCAAACUCUCCCUUGCCUCUUUUCCAGAAUUCCUUUCCUGCUCUUACACACCCUUUCAACCAUGGCUAGCCGUCGUGUUCUUAACCAGAUCCGGAGCUUGGCCUUUGACGAAGACCUGUUUUGGGAAUUGCAUUCCUCUCUUUCUCUGGCUGAAGAGCUUACCAGGCUCAUUAACCAGCUUUUGCAGAGGAAUAUUAUUGCCUCUGUAAAAACCCCUCUCCUGGAGUUUCUGGGCCUCCUGCAUGAAGCUGUACCCCUAUAUGAAGAACACCGGGAGCUUACUGCUCGAGUGUUCUUUGCUGAACAUCAAAUUGAGGAGAAGAUGGAAGAAUUUGAAGAGUUGAAGGCUGCUCUGAACCAAGCGGACCCUGAGGGGAGUGUGGGAGCUCUGAAAGCCUUGGUGGACAAGCUUUCUUCCACUGCCCGUGAGGAGCUGGAUCUUCGACAGGAGAAAUCGAGACUGGAAUCCCAACAAGAGGAUGUCUUGAGGCGCAUGGAGCCUCUUAGGGCCAAAUACGAUAGUUAUAGGGCCAAUCCCCCUUUUUAAAGUUUUUUUGCCAUAGUUGUAAAUGCUCUAUUCUAAUUAAUAAAACAUUCGAGUUUGGCAAUUUACUUUAUUUAUUUUCUUAUUCUUGCUUCCUUAUUCGAUGUUUAUUUCAUGCAACGUUGGCUUAUACGUUUUUAAGUAUUUGCCAUUUACCGUUAUUUGUCGAUUUCGACCUCCUAAUUCUUUAAUCGAAUAAGCGUUGUUUAAAAGUACUUUCUCGACUGUGAAAGGGCCUUCCCAGUUUGGGGCCCACUUUCCAUAGCGUUUAUCCCUUUUAUCGACUGGUAAGACAACCUUCCAUACGUAAUCACCGGGCAUAAAAGAUUUAACUCUAACCUUUUUAUUAUAAGCUUUAGCAACGCGAUCCUUUUGCCUGGUUAAGGUAUCCAACGCCAAUAGUCUUUCUUCGUCGAGAUUGACUAAUUCAUCAAGCAUCAUAUUCCAAUAGUCUUCACUUGGAAUUUCCUCUUGCCUUUGAAUUCUGCAUGACUGUAAAUAUACUUCUGCUGGUAACACCGCUUCUUGGCCGUAUGCUAGUCGAAAUGGCGUUGCCCCGGUAGCUUCUUUAGGUGAAUUCCUGUAAGCCCAAAGCACUUGGCCCAAUGUUUGAUGCCGUCUUUUAGGUUUUCGACCAACAUGUUUUUUAAUCAAGGAGAUCAAUGUUUUGUUGGCCGCUUCUACUUGACCAUUCGCUUGAGCGUAAUAGGGAGUCGAGGUUAGGAGUUUUAUGCCCCAAGAUUCCGCGAAUGAUGCCACUUUUUGGCCUACAAAUACUGUGCCUUGGUCUGUAGUAAGUGACUCAGGUAACCCGAAACGAUACACUAUGUGAUUCUGAAUGAAAUCGAUCACCGUGUCCUGGGUAACAUUUUGUAGAGGAAUUGCCUCUACCCACUUGGUAAAGUAAUCUAUAGCCACUAUUAUGUACUUGUGUUGCCUAGAAGAACAUGGGCUAAUUUCGUCAAUUAGGUCUAAAGCCCAUCCCCUGAAUGGCCAUGGUUUAAUAAUUGAGUGUAAUUCACUUGCUGGCACAUGUUGUAUCCCUGCGUGUCUCUGGCAAUCUUGGCACCCCUUGGCAUACUCCAUGCAAUCUUUCAUGAUAGUAGGCCAAUACAUCCCUUGUCGGAAUAGGAUCCAUUUCAUCUUGAUUCCUGCCUGGUGGGCACCACAUAGCCCAUCGUGAACGGCCGUGAUUGCUAUGAACGCGUCGUCUUCGCUUAAACACUUCAGUAGUGUUCCGUCGACGUUUUUCUUGAAUAGCUCGUUUCCCAUUAUGACAUAGCUCAUUGCCCUAUACUUUGUCUUUCUGUCUGUAGUACCCACAGGAUUUUGCAAGUAAUCGACAAUUGGCUUUCUCCAAUCAUUAGGUGCCAUAUUGUCAAUGACCAGGAUGUUGAGGUCAGAGGGGUUUAGUUUUUCUUUGACCUCGAUAAGCUCUUUUAACCUACAUUUAUCGACCAUAUAUCCUGACGCGAUUUGUGCCAAUUCAUUGGCCUCUUGAUUGUCUACCCUGGAAACAUGACCUAGCCUAGCUUCGUCGAAUUUGGCCAACAAAUUACUAGCUUUCGUGUAGUACCUAGCUAGAUUUUCACUGACACACUUGUAUUCCUUGGUAAGUUGCUUUAUUACCAACUCAGAGUCCCCUUUUACGACAACAUUCUUUGCCCCAAGGGCUAUCAGGAUCUCGAGGCCUGAUGUUAAUGCCUCGUACUCAGCCUCAUUGUUUGAGCAGUUACUCUUAAUCCUAAACUUGAAUUUCGUGGGGAUGCCCCUUGGGGAUACUAUGAACAUCCCGAUUCCGCUGCCAUUCUUAUGGCUGGAACCGUCGAAAAAUAGCUUCCAAGGUUGGAUGCCUACGUAAGUUACGAUUUCUCGAGGCAAAGUAUGAUCUGCCAGGAAGUCAGCAAUUGCUUGUCCCUUAACUGCCUUUAGUGGGGCAUAAGUUAGUGAAUACUCGGUUAGGGCUAAAGCCCAUUUACCAAUUCGACUAUGCAAGAUAGGUUUGGAUAACAUGUGCUUUAUUAUAUCAUAAUGAGAAAAAACCAUUACAUCGAUUGGCUUUAUAUAAUAUUUCAGCUUUACACAAGAGAAGUACAAGCAUAAGCACAAUUUCUCGAUCAUGGUGUAUCGAGUUUCUGCAUCAUUUAACACCCUACUUAAGUAAAAUAUGGCUCUUUCCUUGCUAUCUUCAUCUUCUUGAGCCAACAUGCUUCCAAUGGUUCCAUCCGUGGCAGAGAUGUACAGCUUCAUUGGCUUUCCUCUUAUAGGUGGUGCCAUUACAGGUGGGCUGGACAAGUACACUUUGAGUUCAUCGAACGCUUUUUGGUGCUCUGCUUCCCAGCGGAACGCAUCUUCCUUUUUAAGUCGAAGAAGUGGGGAAAAUGACUUGGUCUUCUCGCUGAGGUUGACAAUGAAUCUCCUUAGGAAGUUAAUCUUUCCCAAUAAUGAUUGCAGUUGUUUCUUGCUAGUUGGUGGACUAGUGUCGAGAAUGGCUUUAGCUUUGUUCUUGUUGAUCUCGAUGCCCUUUUUAUGCACCACAAAACCCAAAAAAUCACCUGCAAUAACACCAAAGGCACAUUUAAGGGGAUUCAUCUUCAAGCCAUAUUUUCUCAUCCUCUCAAAGGAUUUCCUUAGAUGCAACAAAUGGUCAUCCCUUGAUGGGGAUUUCACCACAAUGUCAUCGAUGUAAACCUGCAUGAAAGUUUCGAUAAAAUCAUGAAAAAUGGUAUUCAUUACCCUUUGGUAGGUUGCGCCAGCGUUUUUCAACCCAAAUGGCAUGACCACCCACUCGUAUGUCCCCAAGGCACCAGGACAUCGAAAAGCUGUUUUCGACACGUCCUCUUCUGCUAUGAAGAUUUGGUUGUAGCCUGAGUAACCAUCCAACAAGCUUAAGUAUUCAUGACCAGCAGCUGAAUCCACCAUCAUCUCAGCAAUAGGCAUGUGAUACUCGUCUUUUGGAGUGGCAGCGUUAAGAUCUCGGAAAUCGAUGCAAACUCUCAUCUUUCCAUUCUUCUUGAUCACUGGAACCACGUUGGCUAACCAGUCCACAUAUCGAGCUGUUCUGAUAAAUUUACACCUGAGGAGUCUUUCGAUUUCUUCCUUGAUUUUCACCAACAAAUCUGGAUGGAACCUCCUGGGCAAUUGCUUGACUGGUUUCUUGUCUUCUUUGAUGGGUAACUUCAGUUCCACCAAUUCUCGACUGAGGCCAGGUAUUUCAUCGUAAUCCCAAGCGAAACAGUCUUUGAAUUCCUUGAGUAAUUUCACCAUCCUGUCCUUUAGCUCCGGGUCAAUAAGAGCACUGAUGUAUGUUGGCCUUCUUUCUAAGCCAUCUCCCAGGUCCACUUCUUCCAGAGGGUCUUGUGCUUCCAUUUUCUUGGAAAUGUCGACCAUUGGCUUUUCGAAACCUAAUGGACCGUCAUCAUAGAUGCAAUCCAGUCUCAAAUCGCGAAGGUCCUCGAAUUCGCAUUCAUCGACACUCUGCUCGUUUUUUCUUAUGCACGUGUUAUCCUUAUUUGCUGUUGCCUCCUCUUGAGGUGUCAUUUCGACAGGCAAGAUUGAGGCAUUGGCUUCGUCAGUAGCCAUUUCUUUGGCUAUUCUUGCGGCCUCUAAGGCCGUCCUUAUUCUGUUCUCGGCUGCGUAAGCCGAAAUUCGAGCUAGGCUCGAAUUAAUCAUCUUUAAUCUCAUUUUGCCACUCAGUUGUGGCAUCCUUUUCUUCAUCGCUGUGCCAUCCACUCAUGGCAUCAGGUUUGUAUGCUUCAUUAAGGUUUAAACCCCUGAUGGGAUCCAACGUCACCGAAUACUCCGAGUACGGGUUGAAAUAUUGAGAGGCCACUGUGUCUAGAGGAGCAAUUGUGGCUAAACUUUUCUCGAAAUUCUUUUUGCUGACGUAACCUGUCUCCGCUAAGUAGUAGCUCUGAUCUGCUUGCACGUUCUCGACGACCCUACCUGAUUUCCAAAUGGAAAUUCGUUGGUGCAGGGUUGAGGGCACUGCCCCCACACCGUGGAUCCAUUCUCUCCCCAAUAGCAGGUUGUAGUUGGCUUUUGAGGGUACCACGAUGAACAACGUGGAACGGGCCACCGUUCCUACGGUUAUGUUCAACAUAAUUGCUCCUAAAGAAGAACCUGUCUUCCCUUCGUAGUCGGAAAGGACCAUGUCGUGAGGGAUUAGGUCUGCUUCAGUUUUGCCCAACUUCUUGAGCAUAAACUUAGGCAUUAAAUUGAUUGUGGCCCCUCCGUCGGCAAGAACUUUAUUGACUCCUUUUUCGUCGACUUUGGCCCAAACGAAUAACGGCUUCAAGUGGCUUUUCAUCUGCUCCGUUGGCCUCUGGAAAAUAGCUCUUUCGUCCUCGACGGAUCCUUUUUGCAUCACGUAGUAGCAUAAGGGGUUGUCAUCUGGCUCUUCCUCGUCGUAGUAGUCUUCUUCAUUCUCGGUGACCUCUGAGAUUCGGUCGAAUUCAGCAGGUAAGAUAGACACUAUGCAGAUGAUGUUAAGAUCUUCCCCAUCGUUGUCGUCGAAAUCGUCGAGCAUGUCUUCGUCCUCAUCCUCGACAGCAUCCUUCCCUUUUUCCUUGGCUGGAUUUGGUGGCACGGUCGCUCCUUGUUUGAUGGCGUGGUCAAGUUGAUUAAUGAUUGACGCCACACUAGGUUCGUUGCGCGGGUUGUCUUCGGGCUUUAUGUCCCAUAAUGAACGGAACUUGCCACCCCUUUCCCUUUCCGCUUUCCUCUUCCUCAGGAAACGUCUGAACUGAGUUCUGGUCAUUUGUUCAGGAGCAUAAUAGUUCCCGGAGCCAUAGGAGUAGUUCCGCGACACACGGGAAUUGUUGAUGUAAGAAGACCCCUGGCCCAAGUCGAUUUUCUGCCACUUGGGGUAUGGUUUUGGCCUUGGAGGUGCUGGCUUGAACUAUUGAUUUUUUGGUAACCCAGCAUCAGGGACAUAAGUCUUGUCCUUGCUUCUUAACUUUUGGCCUUUAUGGCCAUCGAGUUCUUGAUCUCUUUCAAACCACUCCUCGUGGGGAUAUUUCAACCUUCUAGACACAGGCAUUUUGCUCUGGUAAUGCCUCAUCAUCUCAGAAUCUUGAUAGGCUUUGGCUGCUGACUUGUCGAAAACGGCACUACAUCGAGGACAAAGCAUGACUUCUUUCUCGCCAUCUUUGCUUCGUGACAAAAACUCAACAAGAGUUUCUCCUGCCUUGGGGUAAACCUCCUCUAGGCUCACUUCUUUUGCGACCUCUGGUUCUUCGACAGCCAUGUUUUCCUCCUUUGCCUCCUCGAGUGUCAGGCCCAGAUUUAGCUUCUCAGAAAUGUCGACCAUGCCAAUGUAGAAAGGUUCCACGUAGUUGGCUUCAGCUACUUGCAGUGGGUCGGAGUCAAUCUUCAUUUGGCUUUUAUCUUUCUCGUCAUACUUGAACCUUCCCGAAUCCAAUGCCCCCUGCACAAGAUCCCUGAAAUGAACACACUGUGAGGUCCAAUGACCAAAAAAGUUGUGAUAUUUGCAAUAUUUCUUCCCUUUCCUUUGUUCAGGAGAAGGAAGUUUUUGGUCUUUAGGGACCACAAGCAAACCAUCAGACACAAGUAUAUCAUAAAUUGCAUCACACUUGGCCACAUCAAAAGUAUAAGUUUUCACAGCAGGAAUCGUGUUCUUGGGGUUUUCCUCCCCAAGUUUGUUUUCACGUGGCUUCAAUGCUUUACAAACAUAAGGAUCCCCUGGCUGAAGUUCAGCCAGAUUGACAUCAUUUAAGUCGACGUCUGCAGGGACUUCUCGAUAAACACAUGGACUUUGACAUACUGGAUCCGCAUCUAUGUACGCCACCUUCUCCUUCUUUGGCCACUUAGUAGUCUUGGCCCUUUCCUCAGACUUUUCGGCCUUUAGCAAUUCGAUGUGCCUCACUCUAUCUGCGAGUAAAGACAUAUCUCGAAUAUACUGAGUGUCGAUUUUCUUUCUAAUGGAAUACUCUAGACCACCAGCGGCUAAGACAACUAGCUCGUGUUCGGGGACAUGGGUGAAACAUCGAGAUUUAAGCAUCCUAAACCUGUUGAGGUAAUCAUCAAUUGACUCUGCUGGCUUUCUUUUGACACUAGCCAAAUCUUUCAAACUCACCUUGCACUCUCCCCUAAAGAACUGCUCAUGGAAAAUCCUUUCCAAUUGGGCCCAUGUAUGGACUGACCUAGGAGCGAGGGUGGUGAACCAGGUAAAUGCAUUCUUAGUUAGAGAACUUGGGAAGUACUUCAUUUUUAAAUUUUCAUUGAUGGCUAAGUCCCCUGCUUCGAUUUGGUACCUAGCUAUGUGUUCUACAGUGGACUCUCCUGAAUCCCCCGAGAACUUAGUGAAUUUGGGGACCUUCCAGCCUCGAGGAAGUUCUGAUUCGAGAACCUCCUCUGUAAAGGCCGACACAAAAUGAGGUCUAUUCGCGAAACCUACGUUGAAGCCAUGUUGGUUCAACAAUUGUUCUACUACGGCAGCAACAUUUUGUUGCCCCCCAGCAUUCUGGUGUCGAAUUCUUUCUAACACAUCAUCAGCAUGUUCUUCCCUGUUCACCAUGUACACAUUUUGCAACGGUGGCUGCACUGCCUCGUUCCCCCUAAAUAAAGGGUUUGCCCCCAUAUCUUGGUGUUGUGGCACUUGAUAGCGCACAGGGGCGGGGUUAGGCAAUGGGAUUUGGUUAAUCCCUGGUGCUGGUUGGAUUUCGACUGGUGCCCCUAGGGCUGUCGCCAAACGAUCCAUCUGACGUGCCAAAUGCUGAUUAUUGGCAUUAUUAUUUUGGAGCACUGGAUUAAGUAGUUCACCUAUCUGUCGAGAUAACAUGUUAACCAUUUCAUGGUUACUAUCAUCUACUUGCUGCCUAAUGGCUUGAAGUGAACCAGUAUUCAUACCUGUAGAUAAAUAAAUUUGUGAACUAGAUCCAGGGAUAGGAGGGCUAACUCGACUCCCCAAAUUUAGCAUUGUUCCAUUUGCCCCAAAAGGGGGUAUGCUGAAUGGAGGAACAUUUUCAGGGAACGUCGAAUACGUGCCUUGUAUGCCUUGCAUCAUAGACGUAGGCAUACCAUAAGGCAUGUUUUCCCUCGUAACCGUUGGAACAAUUUGUGCCUGUACAGAUGUAGAUACAGGCAUUUCUGCAACUGCAGAAAUUGCUACAUUCUGGGUUGGCAUAGUGGUGCCAUGCCCCAUUCCAGUAUACACUUCUUCAUUAUUGUUACCGCUACUUCCCCCGGGGCUACUCUGAUUACCCACGUUAGACCCUUGAGGGGAGGUUCUUCCUCGAUUACUUGCCAUACUCACAGUCUUACCACUUCUCAGGUGCAUAUAAAACGUAAAUCACAACCAGGGCAAGUAACAAAUACCAAGUAGCAUGCAGCAAACAAAACACACAAAACGCUUCUGUAAAACUUAGUUUUCACAAAAACUGUCCCACUGGGCGUGCCAAUUUGUUUACGUGGAUUUUUGGUAAACAAAUAUCCUCUUAGUUCGACUAAAGGAAGUUUAGAUUCAGGGUCCUUUUGAGAAAACGCUUUGCCAAAGUAUUGUGUGUGUGUGUGUGUUUUUCGACAAAAACGAAUUGGUUUAGACAGAACUGAAUUUCAUUAAACACGGGUCAAUUACAAAGGAGUCACAUACAUAAAAUAACACAAAAACUAACAAGAGAUGUGAAUCUCGACAAGAAAAUGCAUAAAGGAACUGGGAAUUAAAUAAGCUUAAACACGAGAAAACUAAAGCGUUGGUUCUGCAACAUACUCCUCCAUCAUCACGUUGUGCUCCUUGAGUCUCAUUGAUGUGGACAUUUGGAGCUUUUGGUGAAUUUUCAGAGUUUGAGUUGGGAACCCUUUUUUCUGCUGCUGCUUCUUCUAUUUAUAGUGCUGUUCCUGCCCACGUUCUUGGCGGUUUUUCUUGGAUGCAUGAUGGCUUCGUGGGUUUUGAAUUUUGGCGCCAUGUCCCACGUUUAGCCGGUGGUCUUCGCGCACGUGACUCUAUUGCCACGUGGAUGGUUUUGAGUCGUGGGCAACCGUUGCUAUUCGUGGCAUCGUGGGUAUAUGCACGUGCUUGUAGUUGCUUGUUACUCGGUAACUGCCUCUUCCAUUAAGAUGAUCGAGAUUUCUUCAUCUGCUGAGUUUGUUGAGAUAUAGCUCUCACUAACUUGACUUUGAGGGACACCGUGUGCUGAGUUGCCGAUUUCGCCAUAACCCUUUCUGUCUAGAUCCUACCUCCAUGGUGUCGAGAGUCGUAGUACUCGUAAUUUUUAGCUUAACAAAUAGCAUUCGGAAUAUUUAUAAAAAUGAAAUUACAAUUUUUAAUUUGAAGUUUCUUACAUUUGAAAAAUUUAAGAGCUAGAGAAUAUGAGUUUGUGUGGGAAAGUAUAGGGAUCAAUCAAUGCAUGAUGCAAUUUAUUUUGCUGAAAACUCUGAAACUGCCUUUAAAAAAAUACUCUCUCAAACUGAAUAUCGAUUUGGGUGACAACGUUUUAAAUAAAGUCCAAAACAGAAAUAGAGGAGGCAAAUUAAAUGAAUCAGUGAUCUUCAACAAGUUGUGGGCUGCCAAAGCUCCCUCGAAUGCGUUAGCUUUAGCAAAUAAAGCACUAAUAGAUAGAGUCCAAUCCAAGACAAAGUCUUGCUCAAAGUUAUGCUCUUCCUAGCAGUGCCUCGAUUGUAUGUGGGCUUUGCGAGGAAGCUCCAGAGACAGUUAGUCAUCUAUUUCUAACUUGUCAAACUUCAUGGAAAUUAUGGUCAAGCAUUUGUGACUGGCUGGGCUCUCUUUGUGUGAUCUCGUCCAAUGCGGAGGAGUCAUUUGAUUUAGAACAUGUGUUGGAGGAUAUAAAGUGGGGAAAGUAUUGAAUCUGAUAUGGAUAGCAAUUGUGGGGGUAAUUUGGCAAUUAAGGAAUGGUGUUGUGUUCACACUUCACAGUUGUAGAUCUUAUUCAAUACAAAGUUUGGUUGUAGCUCAAGGUGAAAGAGAACCAGUUCUCAGCUUCGAUCUGUGAAUGGAUUACAAACCCGUUAACAUGUGUGGGUGGCCCAUUGUCGUUCAGGUAGUAUGUUUGCUGACUCAUGUGCCUGCCCAUUGUUUGUUGUCGAUGAUUAUCUCUGGUGGUUCUAUAGUGUGAAGGUUAGGUGGGCGCUGCCCUGUUAAUUUUAUGACUUAUAUAUAGGUAGGCACUUGCUUUUGUAGUCCCAAUCUUUGGCUUAGCCGCCAAGUGGAUAUGAUUUCUAUUGUCUAUUUCCAUUGUAUUACGAGUUGGGGCACUCCUUGUGCUCCCGUUAAUACAAUCUUUGACUUAUAAAAAAACAAGUCUAACCGCAUUGAAGCUAUAUGGGACUUUAGUGACAACGAUCUCAUAAAAAAAGACCAAAAGAUCCCUCCAUGUCGCGUUGUUCGAAGAGUUUCUUCUCUUCUCUCAUAGUAUACAAAUAGGGUCUUAUGUCUGGCUUUGUACUAAAAGCCAUUAACAUCGUAUUUUGGUCAAGCAAAAUUUCAGUAUAUUUGCAGCACUCGCUGGAUAAUUUCAUUUUUUAACCUCGAGUCUAUUUUUUUUAUUGUUAAGCUAAACUCCUCUUCCCCCACGAGCUUUGCUAUUUCACUAUUACUUUAAGGACUCCUUCUUCCUUGAGAUUGUGGAAAACAUUUUACCCGAGCCCCAUAGGGGGCGACUAUAUUCACGUCGUGAACCCUAAGAUGUGGUAGAGCACACACAACUCAAACUCAUAUCUACAAGAAUACAAGUAAACAUGUGAUCUACAUUUCAUACAUUGCCUUUAUAGAACAAUACGUUAAUUAGUACACAACAACUGAUCACAUAUGCUUCACCUCAAUCGUGAACUUUGUUUUUCCGGUGUCGUUAGGACACAAUCGAAAUUUAAGGUUGAUGGCAUGAUCCCUUCAAAUUCAGUCGAGUGUUCCCUAAUUGCUCUCGGCUGGACCCUUAUAUAAAAUGGGCUAAUUUGCGACUUCAUAUGAGGCCAUAUAUCUAAGCUGUUAGUUGGACACAGGUCAACCACUGAUAAAAAAACAAAUUCAGAGCAAUCUUUUCAAGAAAUAGGUAGUAAAAUUUCAUUUUCCUUUUAGGCUAAUAUAUAGAGGCGAUCAGAAAAGUCAAAAUCAAUAUAUAUUAGAAAAGAAGAACUUCCAUAGUGACGUGUCAGCACCAGAUUAAUUCUUAGUGACGUGUCAGCACUAGAUUAAUUCUCAUAAAAAUUAUUCCACGUGUCAAUUUGUUAGAGGAUAUAAUUUUCAAUUGAUAUAUGUUUUAAUUUUAUAUUUUCUAACCUAAUUAAUUGAUAUUAUUUUAGAAGAUAUAAUUUUCAAGUGAUAUAUAUUUUAAUUUUAUAUAUUCUAAAAUAAUUGAUUGAUAUUAUUUUAAAAGAUAAGAUUUGGUCUUUUAAUUUAUUUCAAAUUUAUUUUUAGAAUAUAUUGAUUAAUUUUUAUUGAAUUUUCGAAUUUUUAAUUAAUGCAGGAUUUUAUGAGUUUUUAUUGUGAUUUUCUAAAUUUUGAUAGUUUUUAUCUAUCCUUAUUUAUUGUUUAUUUUUAAUUUUAAUUUCAUGAAAUAUUUUAUUUUAUUUUUGAGUUACUUUUAGAGUAUAAAUGAAUUUUUAUGGUAUUUUUAUUGAAUUUUCAUAUUUUUAUUUAAUUCAGGAUUUUAUGAGUUUGUUAUUGUGAUUUGCUAGAUUUUGGUAGUUUUUAUCUAUCUUUAUUUAGUACCUUUUUAAAGUUUAGAUUUGAUUAGGAUUUAGGUUGUUUAUUUCUUGAUUUUAUCUUAAUUUAUCUUAUUAUUUAUUUAAUGUUAAUUCUAAGAAAAUGGAGUUGAUUUGGUGCUGAGGGUACACAAAGCUACCAUGGACACGCAGAGAUCUGAUAGCUGCUAUUUUUACCUCUGCCACAUGUCGCGAUCAGGACAGAGGUAUGUCGUAAUAUGAUGUUACGUGAAGAAGAGUUUAUCAUGUUGUGAUUGAUGGUUUGUGCCAUUUCAGUUCAUCAUUUGUUCGUAAUUCAAUCCUGGAUUCUUAAAUUUCACAUAUUUUGUGUGUUUUGAUCCAAAAGUUUACAAAUUUUUGCAUAGACCCUUUGACGAAUCAUUGUUGAAGACGUAAUGUUUUGAUUCUGAUGUAAUGUUUUUUCUAUUGUUCUUCUUCUGCUUUUGUAUUUUUUAAACCAGAUUUUAGUAUAGUUUGUAGAAAUCCAUACGUGUGAAACCAUUCUAAACCAGAUUUUGGUAUAAUUUAUAUAAAUUUACGAAACUUAGGAUAGCCUGAAUUUAUAUUCAUUCUCAAAGUUUGCCCGUUUUUAUUCUUCAUGUUUGAGCUGUGUGUUUAAGCAUAUUAUUUGCACUGUAUGUGAAUGAUGCACAACUUACUAUUUUUUUUUAAUUAUGCACAUGUCAGGCAAAUUGAUGAAAGCAUAUGUAGAGCUUACAUUUAAUCUUCAUGAGUAUGUUUAGCUCAUUCUUAAGGUUGGUUCAUGUUUUCCUCAAACUCAUUAGUUUUGCAUAUACUAAUGUUUUAGUAUGUCAAUUGAGUGACUUAUCUUACUUUGCUCUAUAUAUUUCCUUAAGUUCAAUUUAAAUUGAUUGUUAGUAUAAGUUUAUUGGUGAAGUAACCACAAUUAUUUUGGGUGGGAGAAUUAUUUUGUUUUUUUCACAUAUAUAGAUAAUUUGUUGGGGUGCGCACAUAUGGGGCAAUACACAAUUUUUUGUUUCUCUUGACUGAAAUGUGCCUUUGAUUUUUUGUUUCACAAGGGUUCCACCCCAAGAUUCACAAAUACACUAAAUACAAUUCUUUCACCACAGUCCUUUCAAAUUGGUGAAGGAGUGUAUUUUAUUCUUCAAGACUUCAUUUUGGGUUUCUGUUUCAAUCUUCUUCAUGAAUUGAUUUUGUUCUUCAACUAAUUGUAAGAUGUCAUAUGCUUCAAGGAUUCCUGCUUUUCUCUUCUUAAUCAAAAGCAAAAAGAUUGAGGAAAAGAAAAUCUUCUAGGGUGCAGAAUAUUUACUAAUUGGAAAAAAAAAUAACACAUGUCAUUCUCAGAUUAAUUCUCAUAAAAAAAAAUACAUUUUAAAAUUUUAGACUUGAUUAGGAUUUAUAUUGUAUAUUUCUUGAUUUUAUCUUGAUUUAUUUUUAGAGUAAAAAAAAUAUAUUUUUAAAUUUGAUUAGGAUUUAGGUGGUUUAUUUCUUGAUUUUAUCUUAAUUUAUUUAUUAUUUAUUUUUAGAGUAUUAAUUAAUAUAUUCCAAACUUUUUUUAAAAAAGAGUGAGUUUGAAACCUAUAGCUUAAGUUAAUUUUUUAAUAUAUUCCUAAAUAAUAAUAAUAAUAAUAAUAAUAAUAAUAAUAAUAAUAAUAAUGAUAACAUAUGUGUGCAGAUAUGGGCCGGUUGGGUACUAUAGUGCCCAUACCCGCACCCAUACCCACUAUUUUUUGCAGGUAAUUAUCUAUAUUCAACCUCAUAUCCAUUUAGCGGUUUUUUACCAUACCCAUAGUGGGUAUUUUUUGCGGGUACCCUAUGAUUUUGAGACCCAUUGUCAUCCAUAGAUUUAGAUUUUGGCAAAGAUGGAUAGCUUCCUGUAAUGACAUUGAAUUGUCUAAAGGCGGGGAGUUUCGAGUUGCUACCCACGUGAGUAUGGAGACGAGUACAUGUAAUUUUUAAAAACGCGGGUAUGGAGAUUGUACUAUAUUACCUACCCAUUGUCAUCCCUACUUAGUUGGAAUAAACACAAUAAUGUUAUACUUUAUGAUAUAUCUUACACAAUCCUGAUUUGUGCUACUAUCACAUUAAUUUUUUUUUAAGAUUAAUAUGUUGAUAAUUCCUUAUAUCUAUGAUUUGUGUUAUCGUCUUCAUAUUUACGAAGAAUGUGAAACGAGUUCCUCUUGGUCUCAAUCGAGCUUAGAAGAGAAGUCUUUAUCUCCACUUUACUCAUCAAUUCUGACUUUUCUAUUUCAUUCGUUGUUUAAUAUAUUUUUAAUAAUCAAAGUAUUAAUUAAUGUAUCAAAUACAAUAGACAUAUUUCCCGUGCAACGCGCGGGUAAAAAACACUAGUUUAAUUUAAAUUGAUAAAACAAAACCAUUGACAUGAAAUUGCUUUUAUUAGUAAAGAUAUGUAUAAGUGUAAGGAGUUAGGUGUUGCAAUCUCUAUUAGCUUGUUCGAUGAUUCUCAAGCAAAGUCAACACAAAAAAAAAGUCCUUUUCUAAGUCAAGUGGUUCAUAAACUGAUAAAAGUUCUGGGACGCUUGUUUCAAUCUUCAUUACUUCAUUUUGGCUUGCUCGUCUAAUUUACGUGUUUCUGCAGGUACUUCCUACCUACUUUAUUUCCCCUUAUUUUCCUCGAUUAAAAGUUGUGUAAAACACAGGUUUUCGAAAGAUUAACUAUCUAUUGGUCAAUCUCAAUAGGCACACAGCAUUUAAACACGGUACCCUUGAUGAUACUCUGCUACUAAAUCAAUUCAAUUGAAAGAAACAUUGUGAACGUUGAAAAAAAUCGCUUUCAAUAUUUUUAAUUCACUUUUUUUGUAUCUGAUUUGCGUUCUGUUUUUAAUAUUUUCCAAAUUUUGUUGUUGCUUGCUAAAUACUUCCCACUACUAUAUUAUUAUCGCCCUUAUAAUUAUUCAUGCUGAUUCAUCUUGCGAAGACACCACGUGUUUCAUAGGCUAGUAGACAAGGAUCCUGGUGAUAAUUGAAAAUGCUAUAUAUUUAGUCAUAGGGCCGCCAGGCUUCUAUAACUAAAGUCAAUGCAAAUCAUAUGUGAAUGAUUUGUUUAUGUAAAAAAGAAAAACGUUAGUUAACCUAACCUCUUUAUUCAAUUAAAGUAUAAUUCGUAUCCUUUUCUGAUACUUAUUGCUAAGAUAACGUGAAUAGAAAGAAACUACAAAUAGAUAAUAAUGACACUGAAAAUUAUUAUAUCUGUACCCACUAAUUUUAUAUUUAUAGUUUUUUUCUCACAACAUAUGUAUAUUGGUAAUUUGGAGGCAUUAAAAUUCAAAUUACAUAUAGUUAACUUAUACAUGCAAAUAGAUAUCGACAAAACAAAAAUCUCAUAUGAUUCACCCUAAAUCCAAAUUAGUUAGUGAAAUCACCAUAGCAUCUAAUUUAUACAAAGUAGGCUAGGAAAACGCUUAAUAGUACCCCCCACACCCCACCCACCCCACCACUCCACAAGAUAGACAACAAGCAAGAAACCAAAAGCAUUGUCCACUCCAUAUAUACAUAAGAUUCUUAAAAUUUAUUAAGUCAGAGUAAAUUUAACUUCAGCAAGAAUAUAAUUUAUGCAAAAGGUUACUAAAAGUUGUGAACACAUAAAUAUAAUCUAUCUUUUUGUAGAAAAAUAGUCAAGUAUAAAAAUCAAUGCUUUGUUUUCGUUGCUUUUACAAUGAAGAGGAAAUCACUUUACAUUUUAGUGUGGCAUACUAUUAAAUAAAGAAGGAGGUUAAAAAUAGGCUAUUAGAGAAGUUUUAUAUUACUAAUGUGGUGGUAACUCUAACUUAAAUGAGAGAAUGUUAAGAACUCAAGUGUGAGUAGGAGCAUCAUGUUGGUUAAAUAUGAGUAAGAUAAAAACUUUAUAAGAGAUGUGACUCAUGAAUCCGAUGCCUUAAAAUUUUAGGUUAAGGCGUGGUGUCGGAUUCUUUUGGUGUCUUGUAUCCUUGGCCCAUUGGCUUCUCUAUCUCCCCAUCAAGUCGUAUCAGAUUCGAUGGUUGGUAUAACCACGGUGAGACUCCUUGUAUCGAAAUUCUUACUAGCGGUGUGACUAGAUGGCGUUUCCCGUUGAUGUGGUGAAGCGAACGACGGUGCAAGUGUGAAUAGCUUUCGCGGAGGGGGAGCAUAGUAAUGAACAAAAUGUUAGAAUAUAAUAUAAAAUCAUUUAUUUGACCCUUACCCAACAACUUAACCUUUUAGGAUAAUGGUUGUUUGACAUGAUAUCAGGGCCUUUAUGACCAAGCAGCCCAAAGUUCGACCCAUGCCGCCCCAAUCCUUCUAAGUUUAAUUUCAGCACAUGGUAGAUGAGCAUGUGCACUGCCCACACUUCAAGCCCAAAGGGCUCUUGCGUGAGGGGGCGUGUUAGAAUAUAAUAUAAAAUCAUUCAUUAGACCCUUACCCAAAAGCUUAAGGUGUUGGGUAUGUAAGACUCAAAUUAAUGGUUUUAUAUUAUAUCCUUUUGGGAUAGCUGUUUGCUUUACACAAAAAAUAAUGUUUAUAUAGUUUAACAAUAAAAUUUGGACAUAUAGAGUUUGAUAUGAGUUGUAACUGAAGCAUUUAACCCUAGUGAAACUAUUGUGAAUAACUUCAGAGAUUAUGUCUACACCUGAGCAUCCCUCAAGGUUUAGGGUUCUGUUUCUACUAGACUAAUUGCUAUGCCAAAUGUAGUCUAUCCUUUUCUUUUAUCCUAACUAAUCAAUACGUCUUUCAUUUGAAUUCUCUCUCCUUUCCACAAAGAUUGUUGUUUAAGGUUGUGACACAAAGAGUAAGAUGAAGAUUAUUGAUAAUAUAAUGUUACUAAAGCACCCUUAUUCAAUUGGUUUUUUUGAAAGAAAAAAAAAAGAAUAUUAUUGAAAGAGAGAAGGAAACCCCUAAAAAAAGGGCCAAGCUAUACAAACCCUUAUUCAAUUGUAAUAGUUCCAUGUACAACUAUUAAAUUUAUACUUAGAUAGAGAAGAAUGUAGUUGAUAGAGAUCACUUGUGGUUGGUUGAUAUGAAAUGUGAUAAGUGAGAGAAAAAUUAUUAAAUGAAGGUAUAAAUUGAAAAAAAAAAAAACUAGCAAAAAAUGGGCCUUUAUGAACAUGGUACAAUUAAAUUAUACUUAGAUAGAGAAGAACAAUAUGCAAUUGAAAGCGCAUGCCUAAAACAAUAAUAUUUCUAGAACAGAGGGAGUAUAAAUCUUCUGACUCGAUCAAGCGCGAUCAGUGGAACUCGAGGCCCGAGCUGAUUGUGCUUGGCCUACCAUACUUAGUGUCGGGCGUAUCGAGUGCCAGCUGGAGGUUAAAUCCGAAUCACCUCAACUAGGACUGUUUAUGGUUCGGUUCUUUGCUUGAACCGAACCGAACCUGAACCAAAAUUUUGUUUCGAGAGAACCGAACCGAUAUAGUAUGGUUCAAACCGAACCGAACCGGUUUCAAAUUUCGGUUAACCAAUUCGGUAAAACAUGCAUAUUUAUAGAUGGUUCGAACCGAACCGAUAUACUAUGGUUCGAACCGAACCGAACCUGAACUGGUAGUUGAUAUUUUGGUUCGGUUACCGAACCGAUUUUUCAAUUUAGGUUCGAGUUCGGUUUGGUUCUUAAAGGUUCGGUUCUUGAACGGUUCGGUUUUCGGUUCGGUUCUUGGUUAGCUUCGGUUCUCAGAGAACCAUGAACUGUCCUAACCUCAACCAUCUCAUCGCUGACCCUGGACACUAAUUACAAAGGGCUAGGAAUAAGACUCCAGGUUUAAUCCAUGUUUACUAUAUAGGAACCCUUGACCGUUGGAUCUCUAGAGACAACAGGAACCUCAGAAGGAUCCCACGGUGUGAGAACACCCAAAACCUAGGCACUCAUGACUUCACCUAGAGCCACCCUAGCCCCUCUGACAGGUAUAUAAGGCUCCCUCGCUAAGAGCCUCCCCAAGGUAUUCAUCAUUCUGACACUCAGUGACGGAUUCAGAAAUUUAAUGUGGUGAGGGCAAUAUAUACAUGUAAAUUCGUAAAAAAAAAUUAACAUAUACUAUUAAAAAAGUUAUGGAUUUUUUUACCAAAGCGGACACAAGUGAAAGCAUUUUUCACCAAAGAGGUAAUCAAAAACCAGACUUUUACUACUCAAGUGAGGGCAUUUAACAAUGUGAGACACAAGUGAGGGCAUUAUUUACCAAAUAAACCAUAAAAAAUCACAUACAUUUUCUACUCAAAUUUUUUUCUAAUGAUUUUUUCAAAAGCCAAGUGAGGGCAUAUGCCCUCAUGCACUCCAACGUGCAUCCGUCCCUGCUGACACUUAAAGUUUUCUCAACUAUCUUCCCUGAAUUAACUUAGAUAUCAGAAUGUUUUCGCAGGGACACCACCCGAGCUCAACUAAGGUGCUCGAGCUCAAAAUCCCUCCGUUCAUCCCGUCCAAGGUGUCGCACCCCCCUCUCUCCAUAGCUCAGCGUUCCAUCGUUUCCUUCUCCUUCCACCCCUCCCCAGAUGUUUUGGUCGUUCCCCUAAUCUAGUGGAAGCAACCAAUACCUGGUCAUAAAUUAUCAAAUAUAAAAUGUGAAACUUGAUUAUCUCAAGAUGGAAAACUUUAAACAGUUUAAAGACAUGAAGAAUCCACGGCUGAAGCGUCCAAACAUAAAACUGUUGCAGAACAUGAAAAAUUGAACUGGAAGAAAACUAGAGUCCAAUUGAACUUUAGAUGAAAAUGAUGCGAUAAUGUACUAUAUAGGAGAUAAAGAAUUGGAAUUGUUCGUUUGGUUGCAUUAGAAUGAAAAACCAUUCCCAUGUUUGUUUUGUUUUAUCCCUAACGGGAGAGGGUGCCCCCGUAAUACGUGCUGCCACGCUGGCUUUACCCUUGAGUUGAGUGUUAUGGUACUUACACAUCAGACUGAUCAGAGUGACAAACGGAGAGGACGAUACUGGCUCCAGAUUUCAACGCUUUUUUAUUUACUGCCUUGCCUUGAAUAUUGUGUUGUUGAUUCAGAGAUUCACACAGCAACGAAAGCGAAAGUGGGAAAGAAACAACACGUAAAUGUCAAAUCCCUUGCACCUUCAACCCAGCCUGGCCUCUUUUUUCCAAUCAUAUUGUUUUUCUAUUGCAAGUCAUACUUAAUUUCAAGGACGUACACCCCCAUUUUUAUUUCAUGUCCCCUUUCCUUCUAAUAAAUCAUUUUAAUUUCUCCUUAAUUAAAAUCCAAUUUUUGGUCGUAAAAACUAAACUCAACCAGGUAUAACACAAUUGGUAGGUAGAUGAUUAAACUAUUUAAGCAUUGAGUUGAGAAUUCAAUCCUGGUAUAUAGUUGACUUAGUGCCUGUUUAAUUUGUAGAACAAAUGUGAAAGUGCUUUCACCCAACUGAUGUACAUAACCUCUUUUACGUUUGAGAUUUGAGAAUGUGUGAUUUCGAAUUUCAAUGCCCAAACGGACCAUCAAACAAAAAAUCAAACACAGUUUUAUUUAAGUAUACGACUGAUAAAUAGUUGACCUAUUAAAAAAUACAACUCGUAAAUAGUUGAACUAUUUAACCAUCUAUUUCAUAAUUCAAUCAUUAGAUAGUAUGUAUAGAGAAAAAUUUAUUAAGAGACGUCUACACACUUAAUAUAAUUUUAUAUUCUCGAAAAAAUAGUCCCAAAUCAAUAUAUAAUAGUAUCUUGGUAAAAAAUAACAGACCUCGGAAUACAUUCAUUCUCACCCACAUGGCUUGUUUGGUUGUUCACGUGCCUGGUAGGGUUUGUGUUUGUUGUAAUUAUUGAUUAAAAAAUUAAAAACACAAUUGAUGAAGAGGUAGAGGAGUGGUUGUAAAGCAAGAAAUUAAAAAGAUGAUCUAGCAAACUUUUUGAAGGAGCUUUUUGUGGCGCGCAAGUCAAUUUUAUGUCUUGGAGUGAGUGGGAGGGACUAAGAAGAGACAGGAGUCACUGUAUUCAAAAAUUCUAACAGUCUGCCAACUAAAAACAAACGUACAAAGCUAAAAGCUUCAAAGCAAACCUUGCUUACGCGGGUUCUGACCAGUGGCAUUGCUGUCAGAUACAAUUAGUACUAAAUAAAAAGAUUAUUCAUUAUAAAAAAUAUUUAGAUACUUAAGUGUAAGUUCUUUUUCAUGUACCAAAAAUUCAUUUUCAUAUGGAUUGAAUAUUUUAAUUUUCAUAUACAAAUUGUUUUUAAAAAUAGUUUUUGAAACAUGUUUUUAAAAGAAAAAAAUUAAAACUGUUUGAACUUUGAAGUUUAAACAAAUAUGUUUUUUUAUACAUUGAAAAAUAGACAAGAAAACCCAAAAGAACUAAGGAACAACUAACACAUCCUUCAACGGGGUAAAUUAUAACACUCUGGUUCAGGAUGAUAAACAACUCGCACACCAGGAAAUGCCGAUCACAAUCUGUAUUUGGUAAGCCAAUCCGCAGCAGUGUUAGACGAUAUGUUUUUUAAGCUGAAUUAUAUUUGAAAAUUAAAAAUAGAAACAGAAAACAUAACUAACAUGUUUUGAGAUUUCAGUUUUAAAAAAUAAAAAAUUUAUAUUUUGAAAUCAAAUUUGAAAUUUUUUUCUAUCAAACGAUUUAUUUUCUAGGUUUUAAAAACUAAAAACUAUUGUACGACACCUAAUGAAAUAGACAUUUUUUGGUACAUUGGAGAGAUAAAUUGCACCCGACAAGAAUCGAACCCUAAACCUCCCACCCAAUCCAUAUGUCCUCCAGCUCCUACUAUUUGAGGUAUCCUACGGGACUAAUGAAAUAGACCUUAUGAAUUCUUUGAGUGAUCUACAAACAUGGGAAAUAAAUUAAAUUAUAAGAUAAAAGUAAAUACUUAAAAAAGAAAAGAAAAAAGUAAAUGAGUUUGUUUGAAAGAAGGAUAUAUUUAGGAGAGAGAGACAGAGAAAAUAUUAGUGUCACACACUUAUAGGAACUUUUACUUUUCAAUUUUUUUAAAGGUAAAUAGACUUUAUUUUGAUGAAAUAAGCUUNNNNNNNNNNNNNNNNNNNNNNNNNNNNNNNNNNNNNNNNNNNNNNNNNNNNNNNNNNNNNNNNNNNNNNNNNNNNNNNNNNNNNNNNNNNNNNNNNNNNNNNNNNNNNNNNNNNNNNNNNNNNNNNNNNNNNNNNNNNNNNNNNNNNNNNNNNNNNNNNNNNNNNNNNNNNNNNNNNNNNNNNNNNNNNNNNNNNNNNNNNNNNNNNNNNNNNNNNNNNNNNNNNNNNNNNNNNNNNNNNNNNNNNNNNNNNNNNNNNNNNNNNNNNNNNNNNNNNNNNNNNNNNNNNNNNNNNNNNNNNNNNNNNNNNNNNNNNNNNNNNNNNNNNNNNNNNNNNNNNNNNNNNNNNNNNNNNNNNNNNNNNNNNNNNNNNNNNNNNNNNNNNNNNNNNNNNNNNNNNNNNNNNNNNNNNNNNNNNNNNNNNNNNNNNNNNNNNNNNNNNNNNNNNNNNNNNNNNNNNNNNNNNNNNNNNNNNNNNNNNNNNNNNNNNNNNNNNNNNNNNNNNNNNNNNNNNNNNNNNNNNNNNNNNNNNNNNNNNNNNNNNNNNNNNNNNNNNNNNNNNNNNNNNNNNNNNNNNNNNNNNNNNNNNNNNNNNNNNNNNNNNNNNNNNNNNNNNNNNNNNNNNNNNNNNNNNNNNNNNNNNNNNNNNNNNNNNNNNNNNNNNNNNNNNNNNNNNNNNNNNNNNNNNNNNNNNNNNNNNNNNNNNNNNNNNNNNNNNNNNNNNNNNNNNNNNNNNNNNNNNNNNNNNNNNNNNNNNNNNNNNNNNNNNNNNNNNNNNNNNNNNNNNNNNNNNNNNNNNNNNNNNNNNNNNNNNNNNNNNNNNNNNNNNNNNNNNNNNNNNNNNNNNNNNNNNNNNNNNNNNNNNNNNNNNNNNNNNNNNNNNNNNNNNNNNNNNNNNNNNNNNNNNNNNNNNNNNNNNNNNNNNNNNNNNNNNNNNNNNNNNNNNNNNNNNNNNNNNNNNNNNNNNNNNNNNNNNNNNNNNNNNNNNNNNNNNNNNNNNAAGCUUCUGCAGAUUAUUCUUUUAAUAUGCCAGGCCACUCUUCUUUCCAUUCGCUCUGCAUAAGCAAAAUGCCUAAUGCACAACUUUGGAGAACAAUUCAAAGUUCCUAAUUUCCGUUAUGUCCUAACAUGCAAUUAUUGCAUAAAGAAAGGGAAAAAAGGUAAAAGGUUUGAAAGACUUACCAAAAUGGAAGAGACAUGAAGAUCUUAAAGAGAAUUGACUUGUGCAUCCUGGAGUAGGUAAUAACAGUGAGUUCCAAAGAAUAACCCUCAACAAAUAUAUGUUAAGAAAAGGAAAGGUGAAACGACGCUCUUAAUCCCACAAUUUAAAGACAACGAACAAGGAUAAAGACGAUUUGUCACCUCCCAAGCAAGGGCAAAUAUGAUAUUUCGUAUCCUGAAAAUAGUCUUGUGCCAUGUCUAGGAAAUCGAGUUGAAUCAAUCCUCACCCAUCUAAAAGCCACAUGCUUGUCAGUGGCCUGCGGCUUGGCACGCUAGAUGCCUGAUUUGACUUAAAAAGUUAGGCCUACGCUUUUUAAAAAGCUUAAUGAACUAAAAAGACUAGGACCAAGCUAUCAAAAAAGAAUAUCUGGCUUCAUAUGCCAGUUUUUUUUUUUUUGUUUACAUGAGGAAUUGAAAAACAUAAACAAAACUACUCUACUUCAUUUUGCAACAGUAAGGGAUUCAAGUUGAAGGGUGGGAGGUGCCAAGUACGACACGACGAGCCAUCCCUCGCAGCCUGACGGGCCAACAAAUCCGUUGCAGUGUUGCUACCUCGAGGAAUAUGAACCAUGAGCAACUUCCAGUCCCUCCGGAGAAGCGCGCGAACCCUCUCGAUGUCCUCACGUGCCCAGAAGCUAUCAGCAACCACCAUGGAGUGAAGAACAUGUUGCACCCCUGAGCAAUUCGUGCAGCAGACAACAUCCUUGAAUCCCAAGUCCCAACAAUGCUUCAGGCCCUGCUCAAAGGCUAAGAUUUCCGCAACAAACGUUGUGCUCGUACCAAAGCUCAUUGAUAGCCCUGAAACCCAAUUCCCAAACACAUCUUUGACAAUAAUUCCACAGCCCAUCCGUAGUGUAGCGGGAUUCCAGCUGCCAUCCACCAUCACCCGAACUGAGCCAAGAGUGUACACCGCGUGAGGGGCCUGCUGCAUCACCGCCAUGGACGUCCUCGUCGCCAAGUUGCCACGUCCAAGAGAAUCUUCCGCAGCACCACGUUGAGAGGCCAAGGUUCUGCACUAAACACGCCUUAAUUCUGCUAUCGCCAUGUCCACCAAAGGAUUGCCGCUGCCAGGAGAUGAUCUGUGUGAGAAACAACCCUCCUAAACCAAAUCUGGAACGGUUCAGCAUCCCGCAGAGGUGGAAGUUGGGCUCCAAAGUGGUCCCAAAGCUGUCUCGAGCUCGCACACAUCCUGAAAUAUACUUUAGAAACUCUAACACCAAAAUAAUAUACUAUUUGGUUUUCAUGUUUAUACAAGGCUUAAUAGCUAUUUUGGUCUCUCACUUGUCACGAUUUUACACUUUUGGUCCCUCUAGGAAAAAAAUAGCAAAAUUAGUCCCUCACAUUUACACACUUUUACCGUUUUAGUCCAAAUAGGGAUCAUUUUCGCAAACAAAUAAGCAAUGUGGAGGACCAAAAGUGCUAAUUUUUUUAUUGGGGACCAAAAGUGCAAAAUCGUGAUAAGUGAGGGAUCAAAAGAGCUAUUAAGCCUUUAUACAAAUCACAUACCACUUCCUUUUAGUUGUGUUUGUUUUAAAUAAGUGAAGGUUUUAUUCUUUAAAAUGUAAUGAUAUACAGAUAAAUUUUAUUAUUUGAAAAUGAAAUGCAAUUGUAAAAGACAUAUUAGCCCGCUAGUCUACUAGACCAUGGCUUACGGCCUGUGGCUGGCCCAAAGACCUUCUUUAGAUGUAAUUGUUUGUUAAAUAAGUUUUAAGCAGGCUUGUAGGCCAAGACAAACCUUUUAAUAGGUCAGACCAGACAUUAAAAUUCGGCUUGUGAAAAAAUUGCAGGCCAGGUUUGGACCAUGAAGAGAAAAUGCAGGCUAAGUUUGGAUCACACAAAACUUGGCUUGACUUGACUUAUUUCCACACUUAUCCAAGACUUUAAAAUCAAGCUUGUUAAGCCAUUGAUCUCACAAAUUACUCCCUCCGGUCCUUUUUAUAAGAAACGCUUUGGAGAUUUUUCUUGGUCCUUUUUAUAAGAAACAUUCUUAUAAAAUUAAGUCAAAUAAUCAAUACCAAUGCAAAGGGACUUAUUCCCAAUAUAAAAAUAUGGAGGGAAAUUGCAAGCACCCAAUAUGUAUGAUCAACAUUUAUGGUAAUUAGCAUGACUGUUCUUGUAAAAAGGAAAAAAAAACAUCAUUGAAAUUAAGCAUAGUAGUUAAUUUUAUAAAAAAUAUUAGUUUUCUUAGUUUGUGUGAUUUUGUCCAAGUUUUUCUUAUAAAAAGGACCGGAGGGAAUAGUAGCAUUAAUUAAUAGGUGAAAUAAUGGCAACAUAAGUAUGGAUGGCCAAAUAAGCAUAAAGCUAUGUCAGCCACAAAUGACACCUAACUAGUUACCGAUACGUUGGACUUCAAUCCACCUCACGACUACUUUCUUCCACACCAACCUUCUUAACUUCUUUCGAAAUUUAGUUGGAUUUUAGUGUGCUACAUAAAAAUACAUGAUUCACCCAAUAGCACAAAUUAGUAACGGUUAAAAGUCGUUACUAUUAUACUGCCGGAAUCGUCACAAGUUUUUAAUUGAAAUAUUUCAUCACCAUAAAAUAUUUCUAACUGUAUCUACUUUGUAUUUUUUUACAUAGGAAAGAUUAAUUGUACUUGAAAUCUCCUGACCCGACCCAACUCGGUUACAUGUCGCUUAACUCUUACUACUUGAGCUAUUAUCAAUUUUCUAUUUUGUAUUUGAAAUUUUAUUACAUUCAUUUAAAAGUACUUUUUCUUCAAAUGUGAAUUUCAGUUGAAAGUAAUUUUGUUCUAACACGCACUAAUUCACGUAUUGUAUUAAAUAUAGUAGUACACAAGCAGUUGGUCUAGAAUAUCUUUAUGUUCAUUACCCUACAUUACUGGACAAAAUUAAAAUAUAGAUGUAAUGGUAAAUAAAGUGGAAUUAUUACAAUUAAUUCAAAAAUAGAGUACUUAUAUACUCAGACCAUAAAAGUGGGACAAAGGAAAAUGAUUAUUGACAAAACUGGUUCGUCCACGACCACGCACGACUUAAGUGUGCAUUGUUGAUUUAUAUAUUAAAUAAUUAUUUUCUCAUCCAUACAUCUAAGGUGAUUUCCGCCAAUUACCACAUACAAUGGGUCGUGGUGAUCGUGUUGUAAAAGUAACGUGUCAAAUAGCAACUAUGGUAAAAUAAAUACGCUAAGUCGCUAAUUUUGUGGCAGUUUUUACAGCACUUCUAAGUCGUUAGAUUUGUUUGUCUUCUUUUUAGAUAGUUUACAAAUUGUGACAGUUUCAUUGAUCAUAUAUGUCGAUUAAUGGUUGAGAUUUCAUAUGAUCAUAUAGACAUAGAUAGAUCACGGUCCCAUAAGCAUAAAAAAAUGUUGAACUCAAACUAAGGAUUUUACUUGGUUUUAGACACGUGGGAACCGGAAAUCAAACCGAUGCACUGACAUAAUAGUAAUUUUUUUGUUCAUCUUGUUUGGUUUUCAGUUUUUGGAUCAACUUAAGCGGUCUAGUUCAGUUUGGUUUGAUUACGACUUAUGAACACCUUUACUCAUGAGGAAUUAAAAUCAAUUCAAUAAUACUUAUUAUUUUACCUUCAAGUAAAUGUAAAAAAGUAAUAGAAAAUUAAUUACUUUAAUAAUUUUUAAAAGUAAUAAGAGAUAUUUUACUUAAAUCAAUUAAAAUUCUGAAAAAUUAACAUUAACCGAAACAAUGAUGAUAAAUAAAUCGUGAUGAUAAAAAUAUGUUUGAUAAAUUAAUGUAAAUUAAAAUAAAUUAAUAUCAUGUUUUUUUUAAAGUAAAAUUUUAUUGAAUUGAAAGGGAGGAAAUAAGUGUUCCCGACAAAUGGUACAAUACAAUGCUAUCAAAAACAAAAAGCAAUACAAACAACAUCUAAGGCACGAAAGCGAAACGCAAAAUCGCAAUACCAAACCUCUCAACCCAAAAGACACAAAAAAAAAAAAAAACAGAACCCCAUCA
rnacentral:lncRNA from 1 species